UAUUGUGUUCACCACAAACCACAAGGAUCGGCUUGAUACUGCAUUGCUGCGUCCUGGUCGAAUGGACGUCCACAUUCACCUGUCCUAUUGCACCACCAGUGGGUUCAGGAUCUUGGCCUCUAACUACCUUGGCAUUGGUGACAACAAUCGUCACUGCCGUUGUGGCGAAAUUGAAGGGUUGAUAGAGAGCACAGAGGUGACUCCUGCAGAGGUUGCCGAGGAGCUCAUGAAGAGUGAAGAUGCUGAUGUUGCUCUUCAAGGACUUGUCAAUUUGCUCAAGCGUAAGAAGGCCGAGAGCGAGAAAAAAAAAUUGCUUAUCAAGAACAAGAAGCCACGAGGCAGAAAAGGGAUAACAAAGUUGCUGGGGUUCAUCUUCCCUGCAAUACAUUCUGAUGCAUGAUGAUGAUGGCCUCCCAUCCAUCUCCUAGUUUAGGUUUCAAAUCUUAGAUAAAACCUAAACCCUUUUGAGAUACAUAUAGCUUUCGAGCUCAUCUCCUAGUUUAUGUUUCAAAUCUGAGAUAAACUCUAAACCCUUUUUGAGAAACAUAUAGCUUUAGAGCACUCUUUAUGCUAUUUUAUCUGAUGUAAUGACUUAAAUGAUUUAUGAACUCAAGAAAUGAAAGCACACAGAACCAAUGGCAGAUAGCAAAGUGAAUCACACACCAUCUCAUAAACUAAUUCACAUACAGGGGAGAAAAAUUAAAAUGCUUAUACUUUUAAUUAUGAUUCGAAUAUGACUUGCUUUUUGUCCUUAAUUGUGUUGUUUGAUUGAUGUAAUGACUUGCUGAACUUGGUUUUCUGAACCGAUCAAGAAUGGAAAAACAAGCAAAUUAAUUAAGUUGUAUGAUCCAGAAUUCCAGAUGCAUGUGAUGUGUGUGGGAAAUGCUAAUAUGCAAGUAGGAUAUAGAGAUGAUAGGGUCAUUUGCAAUUACAGAGCUCCGAGAUUUCAAGCAAUUAUAGGCUGUUUAUUCUUUUCUAAUUUAUAUGUGAAUGUGCGAAUGAGUGGGGACUCGGAAGUGUGCUCUGUCCUAUAAAAAUUCAGAGCAACAAAGCAGCAGGGUGAGAAAUGUGCUUCAAAAUUUAAUCUAAAGCAAAGGAUUAGUGGUUCGGAGUAAUUGCUCAUUUAGGUAAGGUUCUGUGUUCGAGUCCUAGCAUUCCAUGUUGUGUAUGUGAAUUUAGUAUAUUAUUGUCUCUCUUAAUUGAAAUUUUUUUUAAAAAAAUAAAUCUAAAAGGCCCAAAUCAGUUUGACAAAAACAAAAAGGCCCAAAUCAAGGAAAAUUCCAUCAGAGCUUGAGAAACCCAAAUCCAGGAAAAGAUCAAUGUGGUCAAACUCACAACUCCAAUCUCUCUUCCUCAUGAGGGAAGUUGCAGAGCAACAGAGUCAAACCUCUACAAUAUUCUCUUCAUGCAAUUCAAAUUAUGUGUGACAAAAAAUUUCAUGCUUUUAUUGUUGUUGAAGAAAUGCACUUGGUAUGCGUUUAGUACAAAUAAGUCUUUGCUCCUAUAUAUAUAUAUAUAUAUAUAUAUAUAUAUAUAUAUAUAUAUGCAGACAGAUGAACUUAACUGCUACAAACCAAUCACCAAUUCUUCUUUUAGCAGCAAAAAUGAGUGCAUCUCUCUGAAACAGAGAGACUCUUCCUGGUAAUCAAAAAAACUGCUGCCCUAAAGAAUCAAUACCAUCUCAAGUUUUCGAAACAAACACAAUGUUUUCUCUCAAAGAUCUGAAAGGUCAGAUGCCAACAACAGCAUCCACUCUGUUCUCAGCCUACGCCUCCUUCGCAACAUGCAUGAUGCUGCUCCGUUCCAUGGCCAAGGAACUCAUCCCUGAGCCUUUCCGCACCUACCUAUUCUCGGCCAUCAAUUACCUUCUUACGCCUUUCUUCUCCACCAAGUUCACUCUAAUCGUCGACGAGCACUCCAGCAUGAUACGAAACCAAGUUUACGACGCCGCCGACGUCUACCUCCGGACAAAGAUCGGCCCCUCCACUGAGCGCCUCCGUGUCAGCAAGACGCCCCGCAAGAAGGACAACUCCGUCGCCAUGACGAAAGACGAGGAGGUCGCCGACACCUUUGACAACGUCAAGCUCCGGUGGCGUUUCUUGUCAGAGAGCAAGAAGGUGGGCAAGAAUAACAAGAAUGUUGAGAAGCAAUUCUUUGAGCUCACCUUCAGCAAGAAGCACAAAGACAAGGUUUUGAACUCUUACUUGCCCUUUGUGCUUGCUCGAGCCGAAGCCAUCAAGGACGAGCAAAAGGUUGUCAAGCUUUACACCCGCCAUCUCUGGCCAAGCAGCAGCCACAACGACGAGGAGGAGGAAGGCAAUUCUUACUGGGGCUCGGUGAAUCUGGAGCACCCAUCUACAUUUGAGACAAUGGCCAUGGAGCCGGAGCUUAAGAGAGCCAUUGUAGAGGACAUGGACAGGUUUGUGAGGAGGAGGGAGUUUUAUAAGAAGGUGAGGAAGGCUUGGAAGAGAGGCUACUUGUUGUAUGGCCCUCCUGGUACUGGUAAAUCGAGCUUGAUUGCGGCCAUGGCUAACUAUCUCAAGUUUAAUGUGUAUGAUUUGGAGCUUGCAAGUAUUUACAGCGACUCUCAUUUGAGGAGGGUGCUGCUGUCCACCACAAAUCGUUCUAUUUUGGUAAUCGAGGAUAUUGAUUGCUGCAGAGUGGAUGCUGGAAACAGGGCAGCGGAUUCAAAAUCGAAAUCGAAAUCGGAUUCUGAAGACCGGGUUAGUACCUGUUUUCUGUGUGUUUUUAUUUUUAUUUUUAUUUGCCUGUAUCUUAUUUUGAUGAUCAUAGGUUCAAUCUUUUACUACAUGUAAGGCUAAGUUACAAUUUUGAUUCCACUAGUUUGAAGUUUGAACCAUAUUCCACUAAGUCCUUUUAGUUUUAUUUUGAUAGUUUUAUUUCAUAUGUGAUUUGGUCAUUUGUCCUGUUAAUUAAAUUAGAUUUUUACAUGGCCUCAUGAUCUAAUUGCAGGUGACACUACCAGGCUUCCUGAACUUCAUAGAUGGUUUGUGGUCAAGCUGUGGUGAUGAGAGAAUUAUUGUGUUCACCACAAACCACAGGGAUCGGCUUGACCCUGCAUUGCUGCGUCCUGGUCGAAUGGAUGUCCACAUUCACCUGUCCUACUGCACAGCAAGUGGGUUCAGGAUCUUGGCCUCUAACUACCUUGGCAUUGCCGUUGACAACCGUCACCGCCUCUGCGGAGAAAUUGAAGGAUUGAUAGCGAGCACAGAGGUGACCCCUGCAGAGGUUGCCGAGGAACUCAUGAAGAGUGAUGACACUGAUUUUGCUCUUCAAGGACUUGUCAAUUUGCUCAAGUGGAAGAAUGCCGCGGCAGAGAGAGAAAUUUGCCAAUCAAGAAGCCACGGCUCAGGAAACAAAGAAACUUGCCAAUCAAGAAGCCACGGCGCAGGAAACAAAGAUAAUUGCCAAUCAAGAAGCAACGGGGCAGGAAAUGGAUAACAAAGUUGCUGGGGUUCCAUCUACCCGAACUACACAUUCUGAUGCAUGAUGAUGGCCUCCCAUCUCCUAGUUUAUGCUUCAAAAUCAGAUAAAAACCCUCCUAGUUUAUGUUUUAAAAUUAGAUAAACCCCUCUUUUAGAUCAACUUAGCUUUCAAGCUCUCUCUUAUGAUAUCUUAUCUGAUGUAACCUACUUGCUGAACUUGAUUUUAUGAACUCUAUGAAUGAAAACAAUGGAAAGUUAUAUCUACGUCACAUAGAAAAAGAAAAAUUACUAUACAUUAAUUUAUGUUGGUUCUUAGGCCUAGCUAGCAAGCAAUCCGGGUCAAAAUUCACAGCAAGAAUGAGCUCCAUUAAAGUUUGAGAAAGCCAAAUCCAGGAAAUGUCCAAGACUGGGCCAGACGCAGAUGAACUUAAUUACUAAAAACCAAAUUACCAAUUCUUCUUCUAGCAACAAAACGAGUACAUAUAACUGCUCUCUGAAACAGAUAGAUUCUUGCAAAAUAAAACAAACGAAUUGAAUGAACAUACACUUCACCAAAAAUGACUCUUAAGGCAUGCAUACAUUGUGCACUGUAAAAAAUCGUUUUUUAUGGCGCGCAUUCAACGCAAGCCGUGAAGAGUGGCGAUGCUGAUGUUGCUCUUCAAGGACUCGUCAAUUUUCUCAAACGUAAGAAUGUUGAGAGCAACAAAGUGGAGGAUGAAUUCAAUGAAGGGACUGAGAAAGCAAAGAGGCAGAAAAUUGAGAGAAUAUAUCUAUGUCAAAGACUACUCUCAACUAGGACCUAACAAGGCCAGUCAUCUCUCAUCACAAACUUUUCAUAAAUUUUCUUAAUCUAAUUUUUAGUCAACAUUUAACUCAACCUUCAAUUCAAUCCUUGAUUUAUUUUAGGUUUUUUAUGAUUUAAUAAUCAAAAAUAUGUUGCAAGGCAAUUGACAUGGUGUUAUAUAUAUAUAUAUAAAACAAAUUGGGUAUUGCAGUUGACACUCUCUGGCCUACUCAACUUCAUAGAUGGAUUGUGGUCAAGCUGUGGCGAUGAGAGAAUCAUUGUGUUCACUACAAACCACAAGGACCGGCUCGACCCUGCAUUGCUGCGUUCUGGUUGAAUGGACGUCCACAUUCACCUCUCAUAUUGCACCACAAGUGGGUUCAGGAUCUUGGCCACUAACUACCUUGGCAUCCACGGUGGCGGCAACAACCCCCAUCUGCUUUGCGGCCACAUUGAAGGGUUGAUAGAGAGCGCAGAGGUGACCCCUGCAGAGGUUCCGAGGAGCUCAUGAAGAGUGAUGAUGCUGAUGGUGCUCUUCAAGGACUUGUUAAUUUUCUGAAACGUAAGAAGGUCGAGAGUAACAAAACGAGGAUGAAAUUGAAGAGUCGACUGAGAAAGCAAAGAGGCAGAAAACUGAUGAGGGUGAAGAAACAGAGUAAAUUGCUGGACUUGGGUUUCUGAUCAACUCAAACAAUGAAAAUAUAGGGAGACUAGAUGAGUAGAGUUUGAAUUGCCGUCCACUUCUCUGUAGCUCUUUUGUUUUGUUUGAGUUUUUAUUUUAUUUAAUAAAUUAGGUACUUACUUUUGAAUAUCUUGUUCGAAAUAUAUUUUUUACUCUUCAUAUUAGUACUACACCCCCAUUUACAUUUUUACCUAUCUAAUAUACUUUUUUGGGAAUAAAAAUAAUUUGUAUUAGAUAGAUAUUAUCAUUGUUUGUUUAGCUAUAAUAUUAUUAUAUGUAUUAGGUUAUUUAUGUAUAUUGGUGUGUGUCCAUUAAUUUAUUUUUCGUUGAAACGUUUUUUUUAUGCUCAAAUCUUGGAGCACCGCCAUUAAGUAUUUAAGCCCAAAAAGAACAGGUUCAAAAAAUAAGUGCCCAAGAAUAGGUUCUAAAAUUCAAAGCAAUUAAAUAUAAAUGUUAAAAAUAAGGGAUUUGCCAAGUAAAAUAGAUGGUAAGUAUGAUGAGGGUAAGUAUGAACCAACACAGAGAAACUUAUUGUUGGACUUGGGUUCUGAACAACUCAGGUUUUAAAGGGUUUCUUUAAAAUGAGCUUCAGAUACCCAAGUAACUAAACCAGUUAGCUUUUGUCUACGCUUUUAUAUUUGGACAUAUCUUUGCGUGUUAUUUUGGUAUCCAGUUCGAAUUUGGACUUAGUAAUCCAUCUGUUGCUUAUAUGUUUUAGUUCAUUUUAACUUAGUUUAUAGCUGCUUUGUUUUUUUCCGGUUGUUGAUUAUUUUUUAGGACAAGCGAUAGUCUAAAUUUACACACACAAAUAAGAUGUUAUAGAAAUUCGAAUAUGAUACUUCUAAUUUGCAAAUCAAAACAAUUUUUUAUUAAAAUAGACUCCAUUAGCUUUUUAUAUAUAGUACGUCUUCGUGGGGUUUGAAUUAUUUGGAGAAAUUUAUAUACAUCAUGCUUUGCCGAGUCAAUAACGUUGGAUGCUUGCUUGUGAUUGGUCAAAUUAACAAUAUUGCUGUCUAAAGUAAAUGAUUGAAAGCAUCAAAUCCAUCAAAUCAACACAUGGAUGGUGUGCAUGCAGUAGGCUUCUUCCUCGCUCUUGCUAUGCAAUUGUGACCGACUGUGGUUGCACUUGCUACAUGAACUUCCUUCCCGAGUAAGUAUCAAACCCCCAAUUUACAUAUAUUUUAGCAAAAAGUUGAAAGCUUGCUCUCCCUCUCUGUGAAAACAGAGAGAAACUACUAGGAAAUCAAGCAUGCAUGGUCAAUAAAAAAUAGUUUAUUGCCACUGCACUACAUAUAUCAUAUUGAAUAAUAGUUUUCUGCUUACGCUAGUGAAAAAAACAGGACAACACAUACCACGCGUGCUUUGCCCACAAAAAAAAAAAAAAAAGCAUUAGUGUUGUCUCAUCAACUUUGGCACUUAUAAAAAAGUCGGUGUGUAUUUACUUUUCAACAGGCCAUUAGCUUUUGUAAAAAGCUCUUUUUUUGGUCAAAUUGUAUAAAGCAUCAUGGAGAAAAAUGGAUACAACAGGCCAUUAGCAUUAUGGCUUGUUGUAUCCAUUUUUCUUCAUGAUGCUUUAUACAAUUUGGCUUAAAAAAAGAGCUUUUUAUAAAAGCAAAAAAGAACAAUUUGGCCUAAAAAAAGAGCUUUCUAUAAAAGCAAAAAAGAAAUAUUUGUAUAUGGCAAGAAAAAUUAUCAAUUAUUGGGACCAUACUUGUUACAAUAAGCAUUAUAACUUUAUAACAACAUUAAUAUAGACGAACGAAAAUGAUGAAAUAUCUACUUAUAUUAUAAUACAUAUCAUAUAUAACCAUACUCGGUAUUUAGGUAACUUUAUUUUUUUUUGUAAGUGCCGAAGGGAAGGGAAUAUUUGACUAGGACGCUACAGAUAAGACUAGUGAUGGAAAAGAAAUAUCAUAUCCUACUCAGAUUGCUAAGAGAAAGAGGAGGGACUUGGUCAACAAAACGACAACAAGAAACUCCUAAGCAGCUUCUCAAGCACCAACCCAACCCAACUAUUAUAUAUAUAUAUAUAUAUAUACAGUCCCCUUCUAUUGAGGGAUUCCUCAAAUAAAAUUAUUUGAGGGACGCCCUUUAGGGUACCCUACAAUUUUUUUCCCAAUGAUCCAAACCAUCUAUUUUUUAGAUCUUCAUUCAUAAAUCAUCCUAACAAAAAAUUAGACAAAUCGGAAACCGUUUCGACAUCCAAUUGUGUCUUACAAAAUCAAUGAACACGGUACUUUAAGAAAAUGGUAAAAUUUCAAUAACUUAAUUGAGUGGUCAAAUGAUAUCGGAUUCAAGUGAUUUUUUGUAGGGAUGAUCUUUGAAUGAGUAUCUACAAAAUAGAUGGUUUGGAUUAGUGAAAUACAAUCCGGAGUGGGGCCUACAAGGGGUGUCCCUCAAAUAAGCUUAUUUGAGGGAUCCCUCAAUGGAAGCUCUCUGUAUAUAUAUAUAUAUAUAUAUAUAAUAUACAUAGAACUUUUAUUGAGCGAUAUCUCAAACUAACUUAUUUAAGAAACACUUUUGUAGGAUCUAUUUCGUAAUGUAUUUCAUUAAUUUUAACAGUCUAUUUUGUGGAUACUCAUUCAAGAAUCAUCUUUAUAAAAAAUCACUUGAAUCUGAUAUCAUUUUACCACUCAAUUGAAUUAUUGAAAUUUUAGUAUUUUCUUACAGCCUCUUUGUAGGACAUAAUUGGAUAUCAAAACGGUUUUUGAUUUAUCUAAUUUUUUUUUUUAUAAAGAUUAUUUAUAAAUGUAAACUUGAAAAAUAAAUUAUUUGAAUUGUUGAAAAUAAAUUCACAAUGGACACUAAAGGGUGUUCCUUAAAUAACAUUAUUUGAGGAAGAAAGUGACUAUAUAUAUAUAUAUAUAUCCUCUCCUUGUUCUCUCAACCUUUACUGCCUUCCUUCCUUUCCCUUGCUUGCAGCAUAUCCAUCCAUAAUGAUUUUCAUCGUGGAACAACUCAUGCUCUUCAUUUCUACUGCCCUCGGUUACCUUUCUACACUUUUAUCCCCUCAUCCUCGCCAAUGCCAUGACCUUACUCUCAUCAUCCACCAGACCAACGCCCCACCCAACCAAGUCUACGAAGCGGCCCAACUCUACCUCCCCACCAUUGACUUGAUCAAUCCCUCCACCAGAACCAUCCAAGUCAGCAAAACGCCUCGCCAAGAAACCGUCAAGCUUGCCAUCGACAGCGGUGAGCAGAUCGUCGACACCUUUGAGGACAUUAACCUCAAAUGGCUCUACGUGGUCCAAACAUUCCCGACCGGCCAGGUAACACGUCGCUUCGAGCUAACCUUCCACAAGAAACACAAAGACAAAGUCCUGACCUCCUACUUGCGCCAUGUGGUCACUCGGGCUGAAGCCAUUAAAAAAGAGGAAAAGAUUCUCAAACUUCGUAGCGUUAACUCACCAUCACGAGUGGAUCUGGAGCACCCAGCCACGUUCGAGACGAUCGCCAUGGAGCCCGACCAGAAGACAAAGAUUAUCAAGGACUUGGACAGAUUUGUGAGAAGGAGGGAGUUUUAUAAGAAGGUGGGGAAGGCCUGGAAAAGAGGCUACUUGUUGUAUGGCCCUCCUGGCACUGGCAAGUCGAGCUUGAUUGCAGCCAUGGCUAAUCAUCUCAAGUUUGACGUGUAUGAAUUGGAGCUCGACGGUAUUUGCAGUGACUCUCAGUUGAAGAGAGUGUUGCUAUCCACUAAAAAUCGUUCUAUUUUGGUGAUUGAGGAUAUUGAUUGCACCGUCCGUGACAUGCAAGACCGGAAAUCGGAGCAGCCCACGGUUAGUACAUACUCUUUUUUUAUAUGUAGAUUUUUUUGGGGCAUUCACAUAGUGUUCUGUUGAUAUUUGCAGUUCACACUCUCAGGCCUGCUAAACUUCAUGGAUGGUCUGUGGUCAAGCUGCGGUGACGAGAGAAUUAUUGUGUUCACAACAAAUCACAAGGAUCGGCUUGAGCCUGCACUGUUGCGUCCUGGUCGAAUGGACGUCCACAUUCACAUGUCGUAUUGCACUCCACAUGCGUUUAGGGUCUUGGCCUCCAACUACCUUGGCAUUCAAGACUUGAAUCAUCAUGGCCUUUACGGAGAAAUCACAGGCUUGCUAGAGAGCACAGAGGUCACCCCUGCUGAGGUCUGUGAGCAACUGUUGAAGAGAGAUGAUGAUGUUGACGACGAUGAUGCUGAUGCUGCUCUUGCUGGACUUGUCAACUUUCUCAAACUCAAGAAGCUUGAAGAGACUAAUAAUAUUGAUAAACCAGAAACUCAAGAAGGAUCUCAAUGUUAAUGAUGAUGACGGUGACAACUCCUCCACCUAGCAUGAGCUAGGGCAGUAGAAUAAGUUGGUGUCAUUUGUCCCAUCUGAUUAUGAAGUAAUGUAUGGUUAUAUUCAGACUCUUCCCUUUUUUUUCUUUCUUAAUUAUAGCGUACCUACCAAAGUAGAGAAAUUAUGUGGAAAAAGACCUGCAAACAGAGACCUUGACUUUUGGUCAACAAGGAAGGCAAAGAGAAGCGACCACCAGCAUUUGAUGGAAAUUUCUGUUCUUAUACGACUUCUAACAAGUCUCGUUGACUUAGGGUCCCUUUUUGGGGUUGACACGUAAUUGUGACCAUAAGGAAAAUUCUACCAUGUUGCAUUUUCUGAAACGAAAUCCAUACCAAAUGAUCUUUCUGAACCUCUUAACUAUACCUCUGCAGAAGUCUUGGCAAUCUUGCUCUGAUCAAACAUGAUCCAAUGGUGUGCAGAGAAAAUUACAAAAGUGACAAACGUAAUAAGUUUCACUUCCCCCUGGCUCAAUUCUACUUUUUUCUUACAUCCUUAAUCAACCAAUGCAAAUAUAUUCCAUUCCUUAUCAGUUGUCCCAUUAAUAUAUUUAUGAAAUACCAUAUCAGUUUGCAAACAUUUUUAGAUUUGGUUGAGCUUGAGACAUGGUUGUUCAAGGGAAUAAGGGGAUUGAGAAUUGUUGAUUUUCAAGUAGGAGUUGGAGACGGUGUUGUUCAACCUCACAACUUAAUAAGCAUAUAUACUUCCACAAUCAACGCCACCUCACUCGAUCAACACUUGAUUUCGUUGAAUUAAACUAAUUUCUCUUGUAUUAAGAUACCAAGUUGACAACUCCUAAAUUAUCUUCUAAGUUUAUUGCCCUGCUAGCACUUGGUAUCGAUUCGAAGUUGCUAGGCUAGUUUAUUUUCCUAAAAUCGGUUCAUCAGUCUGUCAAUUCCUCACUUACUUUCUAUGUAAGUUAUUGUUUAUAAUUAAUUGAAUCGAGAAAUCUUCUGUUUAUUUGUGAAUUUUUAUUUUUAGAAAAAUUCCAUGUAUGAGGUUAAGUGCAUCUCUUAAUUAGAACAUCUAUAGUGGGGUGAUGUAUAAUAGGAUGUAUGUUAAAUAUACACCCGUUAUGAUCGGAAUUACUCGUAAUAAGGGUGUAAAUAAAUGUAUAAUUACAUCACCACCAUGAGAUGUAAAUUUAGAUGCAAUUGUACAUAUUUUUUUACAUUCCCAUUGCGGAUGGAACCCAACUGAAAAAAAAAGAGGAAAAAUAGAGAAAAGUCAGAAUAAAAAGGUGGGACCCAGCUAACAACAAUGGUGCAUGCAACGGUAUGGCUCGAUUUUGUCCUCAUCCCAUUUCUUCCUUUUUUUAAUUCAACUUGUUUCCACGGUCUCUCCCAUCUCUCUACUUUUGAUAUUUAUUUAUAAUUUCAUAUAUAUAUAUAUAUAUAUAAUUAAAUUAAUAAUUUACUUACUUUCCAACCUUAAGACGGAGACUCGGUAUAGAGAAAUUAUUGUAUGAUAUCGUAUCAUCACUUCAAUUGAUGAUACUUCCGUUUAUCUUUCAUAGAAGAUUAUAACCUUUUUUUUAAAGCAUAAUUAAAAACAUCAAUUUCACCUUUUUGAAUAAACUUUUUUAAAAAGCUUUAAUUGUUUUAGAAAAUGACAUAUUGCACAUUUUUAGAUUAAAUGUACUUUACAAUCCAACGAUUCUUUUUUAAUGAAAUUAUAUUUUCUCCAAAUUCAAAUAUUUUUAGGUCUAUUUGUUUGAAAAAAUAAAAUUAACCUAAUACAAAAAAAAAAUUAAUUUUAUAAAGUAAACACAAAAUAUAAAUUUAACACAAAAACAAAUUAAGACAAACAAAUCAAUUAUACAUCUUUAGAUUUACUUCGUUUUUUAUUGGAGAAAAAAACGUAUUUACACUUCCCGAAUGUGUAAAGGAGAUAUAAAAGUGUCUUUACACCCCCGAAAAUACACCUCCUACUGUAGAAGCUCUUAGGUAUUUGAUAAUUUUUUGAUUUUGUGUUAUGUUGACAUUUGCAGUUCACACUCUCGGGCCUACUAAACUUCAUGGAUGGUCUGUGGUCAAGUUGCGGUGAUGAAAGAAUUAUUGUGUUCACAACAAACCACAAGGAUGACGAUGAUGAUGCUGCUCUUGUAAGAGUUGUCAAGGUCACCCCUGCUGAGAUUUGUGAGGAAGUACUGAAGAAAAAUGACGAGGACGAGGACGACGAUGAUGAUGCUGCUCUCGAAAGAGUUGUCGACCUUCUCAAACUUGAGAAGCUUGAAGGGACUAAUAAUAUUGAAAAGACAGAAAUGCAAGCAGAAAAAAGGCAGGAAAAUGGAUCUCAGGUGAAUGAUGAAAGUGACAACUCAUGCAUCCAACAUGAGCUAUAGCGAUCCCCUUUUAGAUAAGUCUUUUUGUUAUUAGUACUUUUGUAGGAAAAGAAAUCUGGAUGUCAAGUACUCUAAUCCCAGUUUUGUUUGGUGUCCUGUCAGGUGUUGUCCUAUUAUCCUAUCUGAUUAUGAUGUAAUCACUUUGGUUAUAUCGAUAAAUAAAGUAAGUAAUGGUAUGGUUAGUUCAAAUUCUAUUCAAACUCUAAUAUUAUUUUCUUUCACGAAUGUGCGCUAGCAACAUAUAUACAUAAGGUGGUGUGGUGUUUUUGUUGUUAAGAGGUAGAAAGAAAAUUUACUCGCACACACACAAGUGCCUAGAAAUUUCGAAUAUGAGAUGAUUGGUCUUAAGUCAAACAUACUUUUUCACUACGGUAUGAUCCUAUUAGCUUCAUACUCUCUUGUUUCACUCUAGAGUGCAAGUGGCUACUUUUGAAAUGAAAUAAUUAACAACAGUUACUUUCUUAAUUAUAUCAUAGUUUACUUACCAAAGUGGAGAAGAUUUAUAUUUUUUGUUGUACUUCUUCAUAGGUUUUGAAUUUUGAUGCAACCAGAAGCUUUUUGUGUGUGUUGUUGCAUGUGAAUGGCGGGAAAAGAAUGGCAACUGUGUGAAAUUGAUCAAGUUAAGAUCAAUCCGGUAUGAUUGAAAACAUCAAAGCCAUCAAAUUAGUCAUGGUCUGCUCUAGGUUUCUUUAUUCAUUUUGGCCUCAAAUAUUAAAUACAUGUGUUUAAAAAGCAAUAACAAUCUAAUCAAAUAACUCACCCAACCCAACUCCUACGUUCAACGUAUAGUCCUAACACAAUCAAAUGUUUUAUUGAAUAUUUAUCCAGAGACUUACCUAUAAACUAGGUCACCUAGCACACUAAAAAAAAAAACCACGUACAGUAAAAAAAAGAUAUCUAGCAUAAGGAGAAAUUCGACCAAAACAAAAAAAAAUAGCAUAAGGAGAAAAAAGAGGGACUAUUGUCAACUAAACGACAAUAACCUACACAAAACACAAUGCACGCGGUUUUGACUGGUGGUGUACAAGUAGACUUCUUUGUCGAUCUUGCCAUGUGCAAUUGUCUGUGGCUGUGGUUUCACUAGUACUGUAUAUGAAUUUACCCCCCAAGUAACAAACCUCAAAUAUAUAUCCCCAAAUUUGAUUAAAAAAUCCCCCAACAAGAACAUCUCCUUCUUCUUCUUCUUCUUCUUCUUCUUCUUCUCAACCUCUGCCUUGCUUACCUUGCAUCCAUCCAUCCGCCAUGAAUUUCAUCGUGGAGGAACUCAUGCUUUUCAUUUCCACUGCCCUCAAUUACCUUGCUACCCUUUUCUCCCCUGGCCAUUAUCAUCAUGACCUCACUUUCAUCAUCCGCCAGAAGAGCACGCCACCCAACCAAGUCUACGACGCCGCCGAGCUCUACCUCCCAUCCAUCGAGUUGAUCAAUCCCUCCACUCGUACUAUCGGCGUCAGCAAAACACCGCGGCAAGAAGCCGUCAAGCUUGCCAUGGAAAGCGGUGAGCAGAUCGCCGACACCUUUGAGGACAUUAACCUCAACUGGCUCUACGUGGUCCAAACAUUCCCGAGCGGCCAGGUAACACGUCGCUUCGAGCUAACCUUCCACAAGAAACACAAAGACAAAGUCCUGACCUCCUACUUGCGCCAUGUGGUUACUCGGGCUGAAGCCAUUAAAAAAGAGGAAAAGAUUCUCAAACUUCGUAGCGUUAACUCACCAUCACGAGUGGAUCUGGAGCACCCAGCCACGUUCGAGACGAUCGCCAUGGGGCCCGACCAGAAGACAAAGAUUAUAAAGGACUUGGACAGGUUUGUGAGGAGGAGGGAGUUUUAUAAGAAGGUGGGCAAGGCUUGGAAAAGAGGCUACUUAUUGUAUGGCCCUCCUGGGACUGGCAAAUCCAGCUUGAUUGCAGCCAUGGCUAAUCAUCUCAAGUUUGACGUGUAUGAAUUGGAGCUUGAUGGUAUUUACAGUGACUCUCAAUUGAAGAGCGUGUUACUGUCCACUGCAAAUCGUUCUAUUUUGGUCAUUGAGGAUAUUGAUUUCAGCGCCGUUAAUGCGCGAAAACGAAAGUGCGGGGUUAGUACCUACCUAUACCUACCUAAAUUUUUCUGUGAAUUAGGUGUUCGAUAAUUUUUGGUUUAUUUUUUGGUGUAACAUAGUAAAAAUUUAAUUACUAUGCUGAUAUUUGCAGAUCACGGUCUCAGGCCUGCUAAACUUCAUGGAUGGUCUGUGGUCGAGCUGCGGUGACGAGAGAAUUAUUGUGUUCACAACAAACCACAAGGAUCGGCUUGAGCCUGCAUUACUGCGUCCUGGUCGAAUGGACGUCCACAUUCACAUGUCCUAUUGCACUCCGCAUGCGUUUAAGGUUUUGGCCUCCAACUACCUUGGUGUUCAGGACUUGGACCGUCAUCCUCUUUAUGGAGAAAUCGCGGGGUUGCUAGAGAGCACAGAGGUCGCCCCUGCUGAGGUUUGUGAGGAGCUAUUGAAGAGAGAUGAUGAUGUUGACGAUGAUGAUGUUGAUGCUGCUCUCGAAGGAGUUGUCAAAUUUCUCAAACUCAAGAAGCUUGAAGGGGAUAAUAAUAAUAUUGAUGAACCAGAAUUUCAAGAAGGAAAAAGGCAGGAUGUGGAUGUCAGUGUUAACGAUGACGACAGUGAGAGCUCAAGCACCUGAAAUAAUCGACCAUAGCUUUAUCUAGCUAGGCAGUAGAAUAAGUUGCAUCUUCCGAUGGCCUAGCUAGUCCCUUUGGCUUUAAGUACUUUUGUCUUUGAGUUUAAGUACUUUUGUAUUUGGUUUUGUUUGGUGUUAUGUUUCUCCUUUCUGUUUGGCUAUCCUUGCGGGGUGCUAUGCUAUCCUUGUUAUGGUUAUUAUAUGUCCUCGUCUCGCUCUCCUUCUAGCAGAAUUGAUAGGGGUAGAUGGUCCUGGUAUUUAUCCAGAAAAUUUGGUGGGCCGAAAAUGAAAUUUCACAUGUUGAGAUUUACACAAUUUGCAUAUUUUUAUAGAAUUUGAGCUCGGAAUUUUGGAUUGUGAAAUCCCCUAAUAUUGCUCGCAUGCAAUUUGCAAAAUACUGAGUUGAUAGUAUUGGAAAUGCUGCAAAAUGCUCCGUUUUCCAUGAGUGAAAUCCCGAUUUCUGCUCAUAUCCCAUCUUUUUCCCCUCAUCCAAACACUGGCUGCUAUUUGAAAUGCAAUAAUCCAAAGUGGAGAAAUUAUGUGGAAGAAGUCGUCUUCGUCCCUAUUGCUAUGCAAAUGUGUAUGGCCGACCAGCAUGCACAUGUCCAUUUGGCUUUUUGUGGUUCCAUGUCUUUUGCAAGGGAUUGUGGGGUCUACCCAAACCUGAAUUUUUUUUCUUCUUUUUGUUCUUGCAAAUCAAGCAACCUCAACUAUAUAUAUAACCAAAUUUUGAUAGAAACAAAAAAAAAAUCCACCCAACAGGAGCAUCCUCCUUCUUCUCAACCUCUGCCUCCCUUGCCUUGCAUCCAUCCAUCCGCCAUGAAUUAUCAUCAUGGCCUUACUUUGAUCAUCCGCGAGGAGGGCUCGCCAUCCAACCAAGUCUACGACGCCGCCCACCUCUACCUCCCAAGCAUUCAAUUGAUCAAUCCCUCCACUCGGACCAUCGGAGUCACCAAAACACCGCGCAGAGAAACGGUCAAGCUCGCCAUUGAAAGCGGUGAGCAAGUCCCCGACACCUUUGACUGCAUUGACCUGAACUGGCUUUACGUGGUCGAAAAAUGUCCGGACGGCUGUGUUGAACGUCGCUUUGAGCUGACGUUUCAAAAGGAACACAAAGACAAAGUCAUGACCUUCUACUUGGCCUAUGUUGUUCGUCGCGCCGAAGUCAUUAAACAAGAGAGCAAGAUUCUCAACCUCCGCAAAGUUAACUCAUACGACCAAGUCGAAUUCGAGCACCCGGCUACGUUUGAGACGAUAGCCAUGGAGCCCGGCCUAAAGCGAAAGAUUAUAAAGGAUUUGGAGAGGUUUGUGAGCAGGAGGGAGUUUUAUAAGAAGGUGGGCAAGGCUUGGAAAAGAGGCUACUUGUUGUAUGGCCCACCUGGCACUGGAAAAUCCAGCUUGAUUGCAGCCAUAGCUAAUUAUCUCAAGUUUGAUGUGUUUGAAUUGGAGCUUGAUGCUAUUGACAGUGACUCUGGGUUGAAGAAGGCGUUGCUUUCCACUACAAAUCGUUCCAUUUUGGUGAUUGAGGAUAUUGAUUGUUCCGUCAAUAAAGAUAAGGAAAACCGGGUCAGUACCUACUCUUUGUUUGUAAAAUUUUAUACUAAGCGACACCGGGGAAUCGAAUCUAGAAACUUGGAUCCUGCGCUGAAUUUUUAUUUUUAUUAAUUAGUAUAUUUGAUAGUUUUGUGAUUUUGUUCUGUAAAUAAUAAAGAUUAAUAUUAUAUGUUGAUAUUUGCAUGCAUGCAGUUCACACUGUCAGGCCUACUAAACUUCAUGGAUGGUUUGUGGUCAAGUUGCGGAGAUGAGAGAAUUAUUGUGUUCACAACAAACCACAAGGAUCGGCUUGACCCUGCAUUGUUGCGUCCUGGCAGAAUGGAUGUCCACAUUUACAUGGGUUAUUGCACCCCAAGUGCGUUUAAGGUUUUGGCCUCCAACUACCUUGGCAUUCCUGACUUGGACGGUCAUGGCCUUUACGGAGAAAUCGUAGGCUUGCUAGAGAGCACAAAGGUUACCCCUGCUGAGAUUUGUGAGGAACUACUGAAGACAAAUGAUGAGGAUGAUGAUGAAGAUGCUGAUGCUGCUCUCGAAAGACUUGUCGACUUUUUCAAACUCAAGAAGCUUGAAGGUGAUAAACCCGAAAUUGAAGAGGCAAAAAAGCAGAAAAUGGAUGUCGAUGUUAAUAAUGUUAAUAUUUUCAAGAGAGAAACUGAAGAAGAAAGAAGGGAGGAAAUGGAUGUCAAAGUGAAUGAUGACAUAGAAAAUAAAUGAUGGUGAUAUAUAGAUGCUGGAAAGUGUUUGGUAGCAAAAAUCAGUUGUAUAAUAUAUAUGUAUUAAUUAAUCUUCUUCAUUAUAAUGGAAAAAGGUUGAAUUAAUCAUUCCAUGGUUAAUUGUGGUAAGGUAGUCGAGAAAAAGGGAGGCAAAGAGAAGCGAACAAAUGAAGGUACUGGGCGUGAAAUUUCUGUGCAACCAAAUGAAGGCUUUUUUUGUUUGUUGCGCAUGUAAAUGGUUAGAAAAGAGUCAAGCAUGAUCAUGAUUCAUGAUUCAUGAUAGGAGAAAACUAGUACCCACCCCGCCUCCUACGUUCACUUCACAUGAUCAUGAUUCAUGAUAGGAGAAAAAGAGUCAAGCAUUUGUAUUGUUAUUGUACCAAAAAUAAUCAAUCAAAUAUUUAUCCAAAACACGAGGAAAGGGAUUGUGUGCACGCGGUUUUGGGUCUAAACUUGCAAAUUAAGCCACCCCUCACGUAAAUAUCCCCUACUUUGAUCCAAUUUCAAUUUGUAAAAGAUGUGACUAGAGAAAGUCAAAUAUAAGGAUAUAUGGUGAAUUUCUGAUAUAUUAUUUUUCUCUUAGAGGAGGUGUAUAUAUAUAGUGUACAAUGUCUUUUUACCCAAGGAAAAGAUAAAAGUUAAUCCUAAUAGAACAAGUAAUACAAUAUUUACAAGAAUCUUUAUAUUAAUUUCCUAUCUAAAAUAGGACUCACGCCAACACUCCCCCUCAAGUUGAUGCGUAGAUGUCACCAAUGCCCAACUUGUCAAGUGAGUCACUAAAUACAUGGCUAGACACUGCUUUAGUCAAAAUAUCUGCAAGUUGUUCCUCUGAUUUCACAUGUGGUACACUAAUCACAUUGCUUUCCAAUUUUUCAUUAAUAAAAUGUCUAUCAAUCUCCACAUGUUUGGUACGAUCAUGUUGGACUGGAUUAUUAGCUAUGUCGAUUGCAGCUUGAUUAUCACAAUACAAUUUCAUGGCAUCUUUAGCCACGAAGCCCAAUUCCUUUAAUAAUUUCCGAAUCCACAACAUCUCACAUACGCCAUGAACCAUGCUUUGAUACUUAGCUUCCGCACUGGACAAAGAACAAACCUUCUGUUUCUUGCUUCGCCAAGUAACAAGGUUACCACCCACAAAUGUAAAAUAACCUGAUGUUGAACGCCUAUCAGUUCGAUUUCCUGCCCAAUCGGCAUCUGUAAAACCUUCAAUUUCCCAAUUUCCAUGUUUUGAGAACAUCAGCCCUUUGCCAGGUGCAGACUUUAGAUACUGUAAAAUUCGCAUAACUGCUUCCAUAUGAACUUCACUAGGCGAAUGUAUAAAUUGACUCACAACACUAACAGCAUAAGCAAUAUCUGGCUUGGUGUGAGAUAAAUAAAUAAGUCUUCCAACUAACCUCUGAUAUCUGUCUUUAUUAGUUGGAACUUGAUCUGGAAGAAUCUCAAGAUUAUGGUUCUGCACAAUAGGAGUAUCAGCAGGUUUACACCCAAGCAUCCCAGUUUCAUUCAAUAAAUCUAACACAUAUUUUCUUUGUGACAAGAAAAUACCAUGUUGAGAUCUAGCCACUUCAAUUCCCAAAAAAUAUUUCAACCCUCCAAGAUCCUUCAUCUCAAACUCAGUUGAUAAAUAAUGUUUCAAUUUAUCAAUCUCUUCUGUAUCAUCACCUGUUAUUAUCAUAUCAUCAACAUAUAUAAUUAAAACAGUGAUCUUCCCUUUCCUCCUCUUCAGAAACAAAGUAUGAUCUGCAUUGCUUUGACGAUAACCGUAUUUCUUCAUGGCAUAACUGAAUUUGCCAAACCAAGCUCUAGGAGACUGCUUCAACCCAUAGAGUGACUUCCUCAACUUGCACACCAAAUUUGGAUUUUCAGAUAGAUCAAAUCCUGGAGGUAGGCUCAUAUAAACUUCUUCCUUCAAUUCUCCAUGUAGGAAAGCAUUUUUCACAUCAAAUUGUUGGAGUGGCCAAUCUAAAUUUGCUGCAAGCGAUAUUAGAACACGAACUGUGUUUAUUUUUGCAACUGGUGCAAAAGUUUCCUAAUAAUCAACACCAUAUGUCUGAGUAUAUCCUUUGGCAACCAAUCUCGCCUUGUAUCUAUCAAUGGUACCAUCUACCUUGUGUUUAAUUGUGAAAAUCCAUCUGCAUCCAACUGGUCGUUUUCCUUGUGGCAAUGAAACUAAAUCCCAAGUUUGAUUUUUUUUCAAAGCCAACAUCUCUUCAUCCAUAGCUUUCUUCCAUUGAGGAGCAGCCAAAGCAUCUUGCACUUUAGAUGGAAUAAAUUCAGUUGUCAUAUGAUUAGCAAAAACUGCACAUGCUUCAGAUAAUCGAUGAGUAGAGACAUAGUUUGCAAUUGGGUAGUUCGACUUCUUUAAAUUUUCAGGUGAAAAACGAUCUGGUGGAAUUCCUCUAUUACGUCUGGGAGGCAAUUGAUACCUUGUUUCUGCAACACUAUCAAUAUCAUUUGUAAUUAAAUUGUCAGUAUUAAUCAAAUUUGGUUAUGUACUUACCUCAGGGUUAUUCGAAGCCUCAGGAAUUUGGACAAGUACUGUUGGUGUAGAAGAGGGAGAACAAUUAUGUGGGAUAUGUGGAGUUGCAGGGAACAAAGUGGGGUUAGCAACAUGUGACGCCAGGUCCUCAACGGACGUGACUGCAUUUUCUUUUUCAUUGCAGAUCACUUCUUCUCUUUCUAUGAUAAUAUCAGGUAACAUAAUUGUCCAAUUCCAAUUCUGCUCUUCAAUAUUCUCAUUCUCCCCCUGAAGAGGAGGGUUGGAUUCAUGAUGAAAUACAUGGACAAGUCUGAGAAAGUGAUAUCCAUUGUGACAUACGUACGCUUUGUCGGAGGAUGGUAGCAUCGAUAUCCUUUGGAAUAUGGGGAGAAACCCACAAACACACAUUUAAGAGCACAUGGAUCCAAUUUAGACCGUAGGUGUUUAAGGAUGUGAACGUAGGCUAUACAACCAAAACUACGGGGAUGGAGAGUCAGGACUGACGGUAGGGGAUGUGUCGAAGUCAAAACAUCCAGUGGUGUCUUGUAUCCAUGGACAGAAGAGGGCAUACGAUUUAAUAAAUACACUGCAUAUAAUAUAGCAUCACUCCAAAACAUCUUAGGCAUAUGAGCUUCUAUCAAAAUACUCAUGGCCGUCUCAAGAAUAUGAUGAUUUUUCCGUUCAGCAACCCCAUUUUGUUGAGGGGUAUAGGGACAUGUAGUUUCAUGGAGAAGACCGUUAUCCUGAAAGAAAGACACAAAAUCAUGACUCACAUAUUCACCUCCAUUAUCUGAUUGCAGAAACUGAAUUUUUUUGGAGAAUUGUGUCUGAACCAUCUGAUAAAAUUGCUUGAAGAGACCAAAAACCUCACUUUUAUUUUUCAUAAAAUAUAUCCAUGUCAUUCUCGUAUAAUUAUCAACGAAAGUCACAAACCAUCUAAUGCCAGAGAUUGUAGAGACUGGGGAAGGACCCCAUACAUCAGAAUGAAUAAGAGCAAAAGGUUUAUCAUUCUUAUUGAAACUAAUAGGGUAUGAAACACGGUGACUCUUGGCAAGAAUACAAGUUUCACACUGAAGACUAGAAAUAUCGAAAUCCAAAAAUAAAGCUGGAAAUAAAUGUUUUAAAUAACCAAAAGAAGCAUGUCCUAAACGCCAAUGCCAUAACCAAAUUUGUAUCUUCUUGUCUGCAGCUGAGUCAUGAGCAAUAAGGGCCUUUCCCGUGCAAACAUCAUCCACAUAAUAUAGUCCUCCUCUCUUAGUACCACGCCCAAUUAUUUCCUGGGUUCGAAUAUCCUGAAGAAGGCAAAACAAGGGAUGGAUUAAUACAAAACAAUUUAAUUGUUCAGUCACUUGUCCAACAGAUAAUAAAUUCUGAGAUAAAGAAGGAACAAGAAGAACAUGUUCCAAAGUUAAAUUUGGAGAAAGAUCAACUGUGCCUGCCCCAAUCACAGGGUAGGAUUGGUCAUUCGCAUUCGCCAUACUAGUAAGGCUAGGAGUAGUACGAGUCUUCAAAUUUGUCGAGUCAAAUGUCAUGUGAUUUGAAGCACCUGAAUCAAUAAUCCAACCAGAACCAAUACCUAAGCCAGUAGCAGCAGCAAAAGCACUAUCUGAUGUAUUAGAAGAAGUGCCCGAAUCACCUGUAGGGAGGGCGACAAAACCUGGAGGAACAAUGGAGGAGGAGACAGAUGGCAUAUGGGAAGCUUGUGGGACAGAAGGGUCGGGAGAUCCUAUGCAGAGUGCGACCUUGCCUUGUGCGUAUCGUUCAGCGGCUACUUUGGCCUUGUUACGCUCCUUGACUUCAUCCCACCAUUCUGGAUAGCCAUGUAAUUUAAAACAAUCAGUUACAAAGUGAUUCGUGCUAUUGCAAUGAGUACACCUUUCGCCAUUUUGAGGUUUAACUCGUUGUGGACCAUUGGGUCUUGUAGAACCUGUAGGUCCAUUAGCUGUAGAACCUACAGGUUUGUAGGAAGAGGCAGGCAUAGAGUGCCUUGUAGGUCCAUUAAUUGUAGAAUCAACAGGUUUGUAGGAAGAGGCAGGCCUGGAGUUCCUUGCUACCAUAGCAACUCCAGUGUUCACCGGGGUUGGUGGUACCAUCAUGGUGGAUCGCCGCUGGUCUUCUCGUCUGACACAUGAAAAAGCUCUCUCCAAAUUCGAAAACGGAUCCAUGCGAAGAAUAUCGCUACGAACUCUGUCAAACACAUCAUCUAAUCCAGCUAAAAAUACAUAAACCCUAUCAAUUUCAAUCUCCUGUUGACGAAGCAAAAUAUCUGAUGAAUUAGUAAAUUUAUUUGGUCGUCAAUAAUCAAUCUCAUGCCAAAUACUUUGCAAUUCUGCAUAGUAUGUGACAAGUUGUCGUCCAGACUGUUACGCCUUGAAUGCCCGACAAGUUAGCUCAUAAAUCUGUGACUGAUCUUGGCCAUCAUAGUAUGUUUUUUUAACAUUCUCCCAUACAUCUUUGGCAGUUUUGUAGGGAAGGAAAAUUUGCAUAAUAUCAGGCUCCAUAGAUUGAAUCAGCCAUCCCUUCACAAUUGCGUUUUCAGCAUACCACUUAUUGUAAUUAGAGUCUGCCAGAGCUGGUGCAGCAGAAGCGCCUGUCAGAUACCCAUAUUUUCUCUUCCCAGCAACAUGUAACUCAAGCAGUUGGGACCAUACUGAAUAAUUUGUUCCAUUCAAUUUAACAAUUGUAGGAGCAGCGGAAGAAUCAUGAUGAACAUUGACAAUUGACAUAGGCUGACCAGAACCCCCUGAGGUAAUUUGUGGUACCUCAUUGGAUUGGCCAUCUUCAUUAAACAAAUCCUGCAUAUCCCCCAUGGAGCCAAAUAACACGGCAAGAAUUAAAACAAAAUAAUAGGCAAAAAGGAAAAAAUCUGUAGCAGUAAGGGAGGUAUGCUAUUCUAAGGCAAAUAUAAACCUGGCUCUGAUACCAAGUCAAAUAUAAGGAUAUAUGGUGAAUUUCUGAUAUAUUAUUUUUCUCUCAAAGGAAGUGUAUAUAUAGUGUACAAAUCUUUUUACCCAAGGAAAAGAUAAAAGCUAAUCCUAAUAGAACAAGUAAUACAAUAUUUACAAGAACCUUUAUAUUAAUUUCCUAUCUAAAAUAGGACUCACGCCAAUAGAGAAGGUGCAUGUAUACAUUUUGACUGAUAAAAAGGCUACAGUCAAGACCAAUAGGGCGUUGUGGCUCAAGUUUUUGGUGUGCUCUCAAGUGAUCUAAGUUUAAGUCUCAUUGUACCUGUGCGUGUAAGUUUCUCAUUUCUUUUUCCGAACUUUGGCCCCAAAAAAAAAUAAAAACUAUAAUCAAGUGGUGUUGUCUUAACAAAAAUUUGGCAAAACAGUCGUUUCAAGAAUUUAUGUUGAUGGAUGUGAUCACGACAAUACUUCUUCAAAUGGUGAUGGUGAUAUAAUUCAUUUGAGCAUCUGGGUUGUUUUAGGAUUUCGACUAUAUUGAAUUCAUGGAAUUUAUUUGAGAUUAUACUUAAUUAUAUAAUGACGUGGACUAUUAAUUUUAGUAUGGUUUUUGUCGGUUUUGAUUUUGGUUUUAGAGACUUUGGUCAGAUUGGAAACCAGAAAAAAAGGCAGACUAACAAGAGGAAGGCAAGGAAGCAACCACGAACCAGCAGCUUAUGGGGUUUGAUGCAUGUCAAGGAUAUGGACCCACUCCACAGUGAAAACUUGCCGUCGAUGCAGGUGCAGCACGCGUAGGCACAAAUGCCCUGGAAAUUGUACUGGGCUAUGGCUAUCCCUCUGUCUUGUUUAUAUCAUACUUGGAGUUGUGGGGUCUACCCAAACGCUGUUGUGGGUCCAAAAACAGCUUGCAGAGUAAGCAACCUCUCAACUAUAUAUAUAUAUAUAUAUAUAUAGAAACGCCCCCACAACACCAUCCACACCUUGUUCUCAAGCUGUGCCUCUCUCUCUCUCUCUCUCUCUUUCUCUCUCUCUCUCUCCCCGUUGCUGCAUCGAUACAUCCGCCAUGAAUUUUAUCUUGGAGCUCCUGCUUCUCAUUUCCACUGCCCUCAAUUACCUUGCUACCCUUAUCUCCCCUCGUCAUGAUCUUCAUGAUCGUCAUGAGGACCUUACUUUCAUCAUUCGCCAGGACUACAGGCCACCCAACCAAGUCUACGACGCCGCCGAGCGCUACCUCCCAACCAUUAACUUAAUCAAUCCCUCCACCCGAACCAUCCAAGUGAGCAAAACGCAGCGGCAAGAGACCGUCAAGCUUGCCAUGGAAAGCGGUGAGCAAGUCCCCGACACCUUUGAGGACAUUAACCUCAACUGGCGUUACGUGGUCGAAACAUUCCGUGACGGCAGCGUAGAACAUCGCUUUGAGCUAACGUUCCAAAAGAAACACAAAGAAAAAGUCAUGAGCUCCUACUUACCCUAUGUGGUUGGUCGGGCCGAAGCCAUUAAAAAAGAGGAAAAGAUUCUCAAACUUUCUAACCUUACCAACUCAUCAGUGGAUUUGGAGCACCCAGCUACGUUCGAGACGAUCGCCAUGGAGCCCGACCUGAAGAUAAAGAUUAUGAAGGACUUGGACAGGUUUGUGGCCAGGAGGGAGUUUUAUAAGAAGGUGGGCAAGGCUUGGAAAAGAGGCUACUUGUUGUAUGGCCCUCCUGGUACUGGAAAAUCCAGCCUGAUUGCGGCCAUGGCUAAUCAUCUCAAGUUUGAUGUGUUUGAUUUGGAGCUUGCUAGUAUUCGCAGCGACUCUCAUUUGAAGAGCGUGGUUCUGUCCACUACAAAUCGUUCCAUUUUGGUGAUUGAGGAUAUUGAUUGCUCCGUCCAUAGUAAAGAUAACCGGGUCAGCACCAACUUUUUUUUUUUUCUUCCUUUUUCUUUUUUUGUGAAUUUUAAUUUUUCUUUAAAUGCACCUCUUAAUUGUGUAUUUGGUAAUUAAAUAAUAAAAAUAUUAUUUACAUUCAGUGUUAUGUUGAUUUUGCAGUUCACACUCUCAGGCCUACUAAACUUCAUGGAUGGUCUUUGGUCAAGUUGUGGUGAUGAGAGAGUUAUUGUGUUCACCACAAACCACAAGGAUCGUCUCGACCCUGUAUUGCUGCGUCCUGGUCGAAUGGACGUCCACAUUCACAUGUCUUAUUGCACACCGAGUGCGUUUAGGAUUUUGGCCUCCAACUACCUUGGAAUUCAAGACUUCGACAGCCAUCGGCUUAAGGGAGAAAUCGUAGGGUUGCUAGAGAGCACAAAGGUCACCCCUGCUGACAUUUGUGAAGAUUUCUUGAAGGAAAAUGACGAUGAUGUUGAUGUUGAUGAUGAUGAUGUUGAUGCUGCUCUUGAAAGAGUUGUCAAGUUUCUCAAACUUAGGAAGCUUGAAGGGGCUAAUAAUGUUGAUGAGACAGAAACUCAAGAAGAAGAAAAAGCAGGAAAUGGACCUGAAAGUGAAUGAUGAAGGUGAUAACUCAUCCAUCUAAUAUGAGCUAUAGCGAGCCCCUUUUAGAUGGUUUUGGGUUCAAGUACUUUUGUUGGAAAAAUAAAUAUGGAUGUUAGAUUCCUAGGUUUUGUUUUGGUGUCACAUGUCCCUUUUCUAUUGGGUCCAUGCUUGGUGUUGUCCUAUUAUCCUAUCUGAUUAUGAUGUAAUCACUUUGGUUAUAUCGAUAAAUAAAGUAAUGGUGUGGUUAACCCUUUUUCGUUUUUUCUUGUUUUUUCUUGUUUUUUUCAAAAUGAUCUUCUUACUUUAACGUUAAAUGUUUGAGAUUAUAUUCGCAAUUUUACAUCCCCAUAUAAUUGCAUCCAACCCACCGGAGAUGUAAUUUGGGAUUCCAAGAGAUUAAGGAUAAACAUAGUACUUUUUCAUGCUCCAGAGUGCAAGUGUCUUUUGAAAUUACAAAAAUAAACGACUUUUUUCUUUGACCGAAUUUCUUUUACUGGGAGUUUUCAAAGCAAGGUUUUAAUAAGGCUUAGACUGUAUUGGGUUGCAACGAAUUUUUGUAUUUGAAUGACUAUUAAAUGAAGUUUUUCUUUCAUUAGUGGUGUUAGGGAGUUACAAUUGCCUCCUUCCCGUUACAGUAGUUAAGUCCAUUAAUAAUAGGUAAUACUUAGUAACACGAAGGAGGCAAUUGUAACUCCCUAACAAGUGGAAAAAAGUUUACGGAGAAAACUGUUUGCAAUUUUUCAGUCCAAAAUAAAAUGGUCUUGUAGUAGAUUAAUACCAAAUAGAGGAACUGAGGAAGAGAAGGAGUAAGAAAUAAAAGUAUCAUGUGGCAAAAGUCAUGCAAACUGAGACUUUGACUUUGGUCAACAGGGAAGGCAACGAGAAGCAACCACCAGCAUUUGAUGGAAAUUUCUGGUCUUACAGAACUUCUUCAAACAUGUCUCGUUGACUUGGGACCCUUUUACGCGUUCACAAGUAAUUGUGAGCAGAAUUACCAUGUUGCCUUCUGAAAUGAAAUCCAUACAGCGGCUAGGAUUACAUAGACAUGGAUUGUUUCGUAAAUUCAUUUAUGCUGGCCUCUUAACUUUGCAUCUCCCUCUGUCUCUACCCUGACUCAAUUCUUUUUUUUUUUUUGUUCUUACAUCCUUAAUCAACCAAUGCUAAUACAUUCCAUUCCUAUCAGUUGUGUUAAUAUUAGGAGACGUUAUAUUUAUGAAAUACCAUAUGAUUUUCCAAAUAUUUUUAGAUUUGGAUGACACAUAGUUUGUUCAAAAGAAGAAGGGGGGAAUUGGGAAUGAGGUGUAUUUUAAUAACAUUCUUAAAUUAGAGAAAGAUGAAAUGAAGAGAGAAUUUGGAUGUUAUCAUUCACUAAUUUUCAAUUGUAUGAAUGCAAAGCAGGCCAAACUCAAAAUGUGGAAUUUUUGGUCCAAAAUCACCCUAAACGCUUGUUUAGGAUCAUAUGUUAUUUUUUCACCCAUACCUUAAAUCAUGUGUUAUUUUUUCACACAUUCGUGUCGUAUGUGUGAGUUUAAUAUGCUAUCGGUCAUCUCAAUAGAAAAGUCCUUUAAAAAAAUGCAAUUUAAGAUGUAAAUGCGCCUUUAUACGUUCCCAAAGAUGUUGUUAGAGAACUCCAGGAUAAGCAUAGUAGUUUUUCCUGCUCCUCCUUGGUUCAUACAUAGAGUGCAAGUGGCUACUUUUAAAAUGCAAUAAUUAAAAGCAGUUCCUUUCUUAAUUAUAGUACCAAACUGAAGAAGAAAAAAAUCCAUUAUACAUAUUCAAUUCAUGGGAUUUGAAAUAUGUGGUACUUACUAAAGUUUCUAUAUAUAUACAUAUCAAUAACUCAAAUGCAAGGAAGAAGAAGCAACCACCAACCAGCAGCUUCUGUGUGGUUUGAUGCAUCAUGCAUGUGAAGGAGAUGGACCCACCCCACAGUAAAUACUUGGCAACUGUACUCUCAUGCUGCAUGGCCUGGAAACUGUAUAUAUUUGGCUAUGGCUAGCUCUAGCUCUAUGCCUGUUUCAUUUCAUACUGGGAGUUGUGGGGUCUAAAAAGCUUUCAAAUUAAGCAACCUCAAAUUUAUGUCCCCAAGUUAUUUGAUCAAAGAAAUUCCCCCAACACCAUCCUCCCUUCCUUGAUCAAGGAAAAGUUUCACGGCCCAUUCAUUCAUAUGGCAAAAGACAUGCAAACAGAGACUUUGACUUUUGUCAACGAGGAAGGCAACAGGAAGCAACCACCAGCAUUUGAUGGAAAUUUCUCCCCCGUCUUGUAGAACUUCUCCGAACUUGUCUCGUUGACUUGGGUCCCUUUUAGGCGUUGACAGACAAGGAAUUGUUCUGUAAAUUUCUUUCUGUGCAUCUGCCUUUUUCCUCCAGUUGAGCCAAACCAAAGCUUGCAGAAUUCUUGUGUUCUAGGAAGCAGAGAACACACAGAGGACUGUUCAGAAUUCUUGUGUUCUCUAACAGGGUUCAGUUGUAAGUGUCUCUAUGAUCCUAAAUUUUGUCAAUCGUGAACCCUUUUUUUCCUUAUUUAUUGGUUGCAGAAGUUUUGCUCCUUUAUUUAUUUAUUUUGAUGAUAAUCUUGGUCUGAUCAAACAUGAUCCCAGGGUGUGCAUAGAGAAGAUUAACAAAGUGAACAAAACCCAAUUAAUGUAAGUUUCACUUUACCCUGACACAGUUCUACAAUUUCUUUUCGCUUACAUCCUUAAUCAACCAAAUUCAUUCCAUUCCUAUCAGUUCUUCUGUCAAUAUAAUUAGGAGAUUUUAUAUUUACGAAAGACCAUAUCAAUUUCAGUAAUAUUUUUAGAUUUGGUUGAGACUUGGUUGUUCAAAGGAAGAAGGGGAUUGAGACAUGUUGAUUUUUGAGUAGGAGCCUUUGGGAAAUUGAUAUCAAGAAACAAUAGUCCAAAAAUGUAAAAGAUAACUGAUUGAUAGUUUGCUACACUGUGAAUGUUAUAUGUUCCAAAUGUGAGAAAGUCUCAGUUUUUUUUUUUCUUAUUAGAUUUGUGCAAGAUGGUGGAUGCUGUAGUAACAGUGUUCUUGGAGAAGUUGUUGGGAGCUUUAUCAGAGGAGAGCCGCGUUUUCAGUGAAUUCAGGGACAAAUUUGAAACAUUACAAUUUGAGCUUCAACUGAUGCGAAGCUUUCUCAAAGAUGCAGAGAGGCUCAAGAGGAAGAAUGAGACCUUUCGUUGCGUAAUGGCUAAUUUGAGAGAACUGAUUUAUGAGGCUGAAGACAUACUAGCAGAUUGUCAGCUUCAAUCAAGAGAUGAUGGGCUGUUUUCCAGUGGUUGGUUUAUGUGCACCAACCCUUUUAAACUUCCAUUCCAAUAUCAAACUGGGAAGAGCCUUGGAGAAAUCAACAGGAAAAUUGCCAGCAUUAAGCAAAACAUUCCAUCCUAUCUUGGAGUUCCACUGCUGAAUCAACUGGAGCCAAUAAAUGCACAAAAUGACCAGAUGCCUAGACAGAGCAGUCCUGUGUAUGAUCACACCCAAGUCGUAGGUUUAGAAGGCGAUGCGAGUAAGCUCAAAGAAUGGUUAUUUGAAGCUGACAAGGGGAUACUAGCUAUUGGAGUUGUGGGCAUGGGGGGCCUGGGGAAGACCACUAUUGCUCAAAAAGUAUUUAAUGACAGGAAGAUUGAGGAGCGCUUUGAUAGAAGAAUUUGGGUUUCUGUUUCUCAAAAUUUCAGUGAAGAGCAAAUCAUGAGAAGUAUGUUAAGGAACUUGGGAGAUGUAAGCGUAGGAGACGAUAAGGGUGAAUUACUAAAGAAAAUAAAUGAAUAUCUUUUAGGCAAGAGGUUUUUGAUUGUGAUGGAUGAUGUGUGGGGCUCGGACUUUACUUGGUGGCACACUAUUUAUGAAGCAUUGCCAAAGGGAAAUGGAAGCAGCAUCAUUAUCACCACAAGGAUAGAGAAGGUUGCACAGAAAAUGGGAGUGAAGAAAGCAAGAUCGCAUUGGCCCAAAUGCCUCAGCAAGGAUGAUAGUUGGCUGCUAUUUCAGAAGAUUGCAUUUGCAGCUGAUGGAGGUGAGUGUAAGCAUCCAGACCUGGAAAAUGUUGGAAAGGAGAUUGUUGAGAAGUGUAAGGGUCUUCCAUUAGCAAUCAAGGCAGUUGGAGGAAUAAUGCUCUGCAAACCAUCACACUAUCAUGAAUGGAGGCGAAUCGCAGACCAUUUUCAUGAUGAAUUAGCUGAGGAUGAUAACUCAGUUAUAGCUUCUCUACAAUUGAGUUAUGAUGAACUCCCAUCUUAUUUGAAGUCAUGCUUUCUUUGUUUGUCUCUUUAUCCUGAAGAUUGUGUCAUAACCAAAGACCAAUUGGUACAUUGGUGGCUUGGAGAAGGUUUUAUUCCGCUGAGAAAUGGUAGAUCAGCAAUUGAAGCAGGGGAAGAUUGUUUCUCGGGGCUAACAAAUCGAUGUUUGCUAGAGGUGGUGGAAAAGACUUAUCAUGGAACAAUCUCCACAUGUAAAAUUCAUGACAUGGUUCGGGAUUUGGUGAUAAAAAUGGCAGAACAUGAUGCAUUUUUCAGCACAAAAGAUAAUAACUGCCGCCAUUUGGGUAUUGCAAGUAGCAUGGCUCAGAAGGCCAAUCACAAGCUGCGUGCAUUGUUAUCUACAACUAAGACAGGUGAAGUGAACAAGAUUGCUUCAAACACUGCAAAGAAGUUUUGUGAGUCUCGAAACCUUCGAGCAAUGGAUUUGUCCAGGUCAAUCUUUGAUACACCUCUCUCAGGCCUUUUACAUCAGAUUGGUGUUCUUCAACACCUAACCUACCUUAAUGUAAGCAACACACAUCCGUUGGUUCAACUGCCACCUUCACUUGACAAGCUUAGCAACCUUCAGGUUUUGGAUGUCAGCUACUGUCAAAACUUAAAGAUGCUCCCCCCUUGUAUUACUACUUUCAAGAAGUUAAGGGUCUUAGUUGCCAGCCAUUGUGGUUCACUAGAGUAUCUACCUAAACACUUGGGAAGGCUUUCAAAUCUUGAAGUGUUAUUGGGAUUCAAACCUGCCAAAUCAAGCCAGUUAGAAGGUUGCAGGAUUGGUGAGCUCAGAAAUUUAAUUCAGCUUAGGACACUCGGGAUUCGACUGAGUUGCUGUGAUGAGAUUGGAGAUACUGAGGUCAAUGUAUUGGUAAAUCUACAAGAACUGCAGCAUCUGUCAAUAAGUUGCUUUGAUAGUCAUGGUAAUAAUGACCUCACAGCCAAGCUUGACAAGCUGUUCCCUCCUCAACAGCUCCAUGAGCUCAGCCUAGAAUUCUAUCCAGGAAAAAUGAGUCCAUCUUGGCUCAAUCCCAUCUCACUUCCUAUAUUGAGGUAUCUUUCAAUAUCAUCAGGCAAUCUUGCAAACAUGAAUGAAAAUUUUUGGGGGAAUGACAACACUGUCUGGAAAAUUGAGGGCUUGCGGUUGAAAUCUCUUUCCGAUUUCGAAGAAGAAUGGGAGAGGCUUCAACGAGUUAUGCCAGCAUUGAGAGUCGUCGAUGUGAGCUGGUGCCCAGAGCUGAUGUCUUUUCCAAUUGAGAAUGUUGGGUUUAAAGGUGGUGUCUGGAAGGAGGAAGUGCACAAAAGCUAAAUGCAAAUGUCAUGAGCUAGCCAGCUAGUGCUACCAUUGAAUUUUAGCAAAUGUUCAAUUCAGUUUUCCUUGUAAAUAAGCAUGAGGGCAUGUAAUAAUGUCCUUAGCAAAUGUUCAGUUCAGUUUUCCGUGUAAAUAAGACGACGAUGGAUAUCAUGAAGGUGUUCGCAGGAUCCUCUGUGAAUCUUGAUUCUGAUUCAGACUGAAAAAGAGGAAAGACAAAAAAAAGGAAAAUGAUACCUGAGUUUGCAAAUGCUUUCUGAUUGCAUGCUUGUAUUGUAUACUUGUUGCCACAUCUAAUUUAUGUUACCUUCCGAGUGUAUCUCUUCUGUUUGUUUCUUUUUUAGGAACAAAAUUGCAUUGGAAAUAUAUUCUUCCAGGCCUAUUGACUAGAAAGUACUUUCUGAUUUUUCUUUAUGGAAAUUUUUUGUGUGACUAUUGCGACAACGGAAUGACAGUUUUUGCAGGAAAACUGACUCUAUCUAUCCUUUCCGGAUGGCCAAGAUAUCAAAGGGAAGAAUUAAGGCUGAAGGAAUUUGAACUCCCAGUUUUACUGUAAAAGUGCGUGGCUGUGAGUCAACUCAAGCUCACCUUGUUUGAGCUAAAUCUUUUCACGUCCAACCAACAUGCAAUUUCAGCCAAUAAGGAAACAAUCAAGCAAAAUCCUUGGAGGUUGAUAAGUUUGGAAAGAGAAAUGACAACAAAUCAAGAAGCUUGGUAAGCAACCAGAAAAUAUUGCAAUUUUGAAUCCAUGGUGUGGAAUUCAGGGGAAUUAAGAAAAAUAUCUGUUUUUUAUUUAUUUUUAAAAUGCUGAAUAAUCACAAAUAAUAACAAUGUACAUUUGGAUUAAUCGAAUUUAAAAGAAAGAGUUUGAAUAUUAGCAAUAAAGUUAGAAAAUUUAAUGAAAAAAUGACUAUAAAAACACAAAAAGUAAAUGGGUGAAUUUCUUAACCGGCAUAGAAAUCUCUCGCAAGUGCAUGAGCCGAAGAUAUUGUGUCACAUUUUGUAAUUAAAAUGGCUAGAUCCAAUGAAGAAUUUCGAAUACAUAUAUUUCAGAUUUUCUUCUAUUACAACUUGUAGUAAAAUCAAAGAAUUUUUAUAUAGGAAAUACAAUACAAUCCAAACCAAUCAAAUUCAAAUCUAUAGAUUUGAAAUCACUAUCUCCAAAUGAAAACUAUAUAACAAAGGAUGUUUGUUUCUAGCCAAAAAGAAAGUCACUUGGUGAAGAAAACAGACGAAGAGAACACAGUGUAUGUCUUUCUUUAUUUGAGUUAUACUUGUUCUUGUUUGUUCUAGGUUGUUUUUUUUCGAUUUCGUUUUAGUUAGAUUUUCUGUUGAGCUUCAAUCAUAACAUAAUACUCUUUGUAAUUGUUUGUUUGAUCUAACAAAGAAUCUAAACAAGUUAGUGUUCACAUAAACUAUGUCUGAAAGUAGUGAGAAUAAUUUUCCCGGGAAACAAGCGAAACAGACGUUAGUGGUCGAAGUUAGUCAGCUCAGUUAUCUAGGAUUUGAGUGGAGUUGCCUUGCAUUUCGCCAACUUCUAUUUUUCUCUGUCUCUUUCUCUGUUGUUGGUUAAGAAUAACACAAGACUAGCAAAAUGACCUGGCGUUUUUGAGACCUCGUCAACACCAAGCUCUGAAUCGAAACCUUAAAAAAGAAAACAACUUACUAAUUUCUGUCUCUCUUCGACGUGUCUACCUCACUGUCUCUCCGUCAUUUUCUAAGCAUGGUCAAAUCCCAACUAUGUUUCAGGAUAUUUAUACCCAUUGUUGUCUAUCUGCUCCAAACCCCCCUUGAUUUUUUUUUUUUUUUUUUUUUUUUGGAUUGACCACCCACUGUGUUUAUCACCAGAGGUAAUAAUCUUCUAAACCCUCUAUCCCACUGUCGUUUUGUUCAAUUUGGUCCUCUAAAUUCUGCUCUUUUUUUUUUUUUUUUUGAAUUGAUUUGCUUUCAUCAGUUUGGUUUUGGUGUUUUUUUAUUUUAAAUUUGUGUAUUUAUAAAUUUGAGCUGCAUUUGGUUGGAAAUUAGCAUAAUUAGCAUAAUUUGGUCUGUUUUGUGAUCGUGGUUUCCAGAGUGGGAAUGUAAAUGCGGGCAUUUGGGCAGGGCUUUGGUUCCAGGUCUGUAUCUGUGAUAUGAGUGCUUGAUUCUUCUGCCCUUUGGCUACUUUUGCAUAGAUUUUCAGAGAAGGAAACCGUUUUCUCACUUGUGAAACCAUGUCUGUAUCUCUCUCUCCAAGACCAGGUAAUAAAACUACCAUUUCUGUCUCAUAUUGUUCAUCAAUAAUCAUUGAGAAUCAAUGUAUAUUCACAAGACUCGUUUAUAUUAUGUAUAUAUAACUCUAUGCUUCAAAUGUGAGGAUUUCUCUUAAAUAAAUAAUGUGCAUUGACACUUAAAAGGACCUUAGGAUGUUGAAAUAACAAAACCUUGGAUGCAUUGAUAUAGGUAGACGCAUAAAUUUAUGAUCUGUGCAUAGACAAUCUUCUUUUGUAUAAUUUCAGUAUCUGAUGUUGAAAUCUCUGAGGAAGAGGGAAAGACUAGAGUUGCGUCGUUGAGGAAGAAAGCAAUGAAUGCCUCUGCUAGGUUCAGAAAAUCUUUGUCCAAAAGGGGUAGAAGAAGCAGUAAAGUCUUGUCUGUCGAAAUUGAGGAUGUGCACGACUCUGUGGAGUUACAAGCUGUGGACUCAUUGCGCCAGGCACUUAUAUUGGAGGAGCUUCUUCCUUCCAAGCACGAUGAUUAUCAUAUGAUGCUCAGGUUUCUUCCUCUUGUUGUUCCACUUGCAGUUUUGUGGAUACUUUUUCUGAAUUUUUGGUUUUUUUCAUCUAAACUUAAAUCAUUGUACGACAGAUUCUUGAAGGCCAGAAAAUUUGAUAUCGAGAAAACCAAGCAAAUGUGGUCUGACAUGCUCGAGUGGAGGAAGGAAUUCGGUGCUGACACAAUUAUGGAGGUAAUCACUGUAGAAAUAGUUGGUAAGGCUUUUGAAUUUUGCUGAUUGUUUUAUUUUACAUCUCUUCAUUUUUAAAAUUUGUCUUCUUUUAGUGUAGAUCAUAUUUUCAUUUUCCCCAGUAAUAGACUCUCCAGCAGAUUCUCAUUUGCUUAUAUUUAUUCAUCAAUUUAGUUACUCAUUUAUUCAUCUUUUUGUCUAGGAUUUUGAAUUCAAGGAACACAGUGAAGUCUUGCAACACUAUCCCCAAGGACAUCAUGGAGUAGACAAGGAUGGACAACCUGUGUAUAUUGAGAGAAUAGGGCAAGUAGAUGUGACCAAGCUGAUGCAAGCCACAACCAUGGACCGCUAUGUGAAAUACCAUGUCCGGGAGUUUGAAAGGACAUUUGCUGUUAAGUUCCCAGCUUGCUCAAUCGCAGCAAAGAAGCACAUUGACCAAAGCACAACAAUCCUCGAUGUGCAAGGAGUGGUAUGUGACAACUACAAUCACUAUGGAAAAUUAGAGAGAAGCUGUUAUGUUGUUUAAAUGUGAACCAUUACGGAUAAUGACUGCAAUUGAUCUUAAGAGGCAUACACAGUUUAAGCAGUGUGCAUAUUUUACAUAGCAGUCUCACAAGUUCUUCUGUCUUUGAAGUCGUGUCUUUUUUUUUUUCACCAUUUCAUUGCAUGGAAUGAACUAUUUUAACAAAUUUUAUGCCUUAGGGACUUAAAAAUUUCAAUAAAGCUGCCAGGGAUCUUAUUGCUCGCCUUCAGAAGAUUGACGGUGACAAUUACCCUGAGGUACUGUCUUAAAAGUUGACAUAUUUUGGUCUAUAAAUUUCUGGAUUUUUAGAACUUUUAUCGUCAAUGGCAGAAUUGUGAUGCCAUGAAAAAAUGUUGUGAACAAUGCAGACCUUGAAUCGCAUGUUUAUCAUCAAUGCUGGUCCUGGUUUUAGAAUGCUGUGGAACACCGUGAAGUCCUUCAUUGAUCCCAAGACAACAGCAAAGAUAAAUGUGAGUCCAUAGCUUUUGAUGCUACAAAUGCUAGUUCUUGUCAGGGCCAUAUUAUUAAUAAAGGAAAGUUAUUAUCAUCCAGGUCCUUGGCAAUAAGUAUCAGAGCAAGCUACUUGAAAUAAUUGAUGCUAGGUAAGUCUCUAAUUGUGCAAUCUAUCUUGCACUCUUAAUUUUGGUAACCCAGGAUUUAUAACCUGUAUUGUUAUCAAGUGUUCCCAAAUGGCGUCGUCUGUUUAAACACACCACGGUGCUGCUUCAGUUUGUUUAUUUUGAUAUUCCCUUUCUGGUUUGGCUUUGCUCCAGUGAGCUGCCUGAGUUCUUAGGUGGUACAUGUACUUGUGCUGAUCAAGGAGGUUGUAUGCGUUCUGAUAAGGGCCCCUGGAAAAAGCCAGAGAUAAUGCAGGUGGACAAACCAUUCUGUUUCUGUUUUCUUUUCUAUAUAUCAUUGCAACUCCGUAUACUUUCUUUAGUUUGCUUUUGAAUUAAAAUUAUUAUAUAUUUGACUUGUGCACAUGCAGAUGGUCCAAAAUGGUGAUCAUAAAUGUUCAACAAAAUCUGGAAUUCAAGUAGGUCUUACUUGAUUUUAACUGGUUUUGUAAGAUACAUCUCAUUUGGUGCUUAUUGUCGUAAAAAAAGCUCAAGCUUAUUUGUAUAAUCUUCCCAGGAACGUGACACAGCUCCAACUCUAGCUGAUAAGCGACCUUUCUCUCCUAGAUUUACAAUGGAGCAUAUUGAGUAUCCAGGACUUUCUCGCUUUCAGGAAGAAGUAAGUAUAGGAAUUGUUGGUCAAAUACAAUUCAAAACAUUCAGCAUUUGAAGUGGGAUACUUUACUUUUUUAGUUUGCAACAAGGUCUUUUAAGAUAAACAAUCUUUACAGGCAUCCAUAGCGAAAAAUAUCCAAGAGUCUUACAAAUGCAAGGACCAUGUCUCAAUGGUCGGUAAAACUGUGGAUUCAAGUUGGCAAAUGGCAGGGAGCAGCAACUUUGCCCUAUCAAAGGGUUCAUCAUCUAACAACAUAGGUGACCUUAUAUCUGUAUUUUCUUUCUUUUUAUGUGUUCUGCAAUAACUAGGCUCUGGGUUUCCUUUAACUUGCAGCAGGAGAUUGUUUUUCCAGGGAUGAUGCUUGCAAAGUUCCUGAUGGGUUCGGCUCUCAGAUUUUGGCUGCUGUUAUGGCGUUUGUUAUGGGAAUAGUCACCAUGGUCAGACUGACGCGUAACAUGCCAAAGAAGCUCACUGAUUCCACCUUCUACUCCAGCACUGUUUGUGAUGGUGACACAAUGAUCAAACCCCAGGGGCCUUCAUACGCUGCCAUCUCUGGUACAGAUCUCAUGUCUGUCAUGAAGCGCAUGGCUGAACUGGAAGAGAGAAUGAGCAUGCUGAGUGUGAAACCAGCUACCGUGCCGGCUGAGAAGGACAGAAUGCUGAAAACUGCUUUAGGCCGGGUUGAUGCCUUGGAGCAAGAGCUCAUGGCAACAAAGCAGGUAUCUUAUCUUGGGUUUCUUUCUUUAAGUUCCUUUAUGAACUUUUUUGAACAGAGCUGUUAAGCCUAGCUGCACAAAUGCUGCUGCUGCAUCCAAUAAUAAAUGUUCAAUAGAGAUGAGUAUGAUAUCUCAUUCAAAUGGUUUCUUUGUUUAGGCUCUGGAGGAGUCGCUUACCCGGCAAGACGAGCUCUUGGGAAGUCUUGACAAAAAAAAGAAGAAGAAGAAGAAUAAGAUCAAUAAGAAAAUGGUAUGCCACUGACUGAGACUAAGAUCACAACAUCACCUAUUUAGUUCCUAAUAAUAAUUCAGCCUUAGAUUUUAGGUGGAGUUUGUGACACUUCUAAUAUGCUUUUGGCUUGCAAUGCAGUUCAUCUGGUGAAAGGUGAAAUGUCAAACACAGAAGAAAGAUGCAUAUGCUUGGUUGAAUACUUUGAAUAUUGUUGGCUCUCCAAAGCCACCCAAAUGCACUCCUACUCUACUUAUUGUUCCAUAAACGUUUACCACAAUGUGAAUGAACAGAAGUUUUGGCCAGAUACAGAGUUUGCCAGACUAUCACCAUUUUGCAGAUUAUUUCUUUCCUUUAUUUUGGGUCAAUGAUUAUGCAGAUAUAUUUUUCAAAUUAAAUUUCUAAAGUCUAAUAAUUAGUAAAGUAUUUAGUGUUUGGUAGAUACCCAAUUGGAUUUGGGGUGUUUGCAUGAUCUCUUCUCAUCAUGUUUUAGUUGUACCCAAAGACUUUCUUGUGUUUGCUAGCAGGAAAGCAAGUGUGAAGUUGAGCUACUUAGAUUAUUUAGAAUCUGGAUAAUAGAGUUUGAUGAAGCUCGAGUGGGACCCCCCACCCACCAAGCAAGCUUAAGUUAGCAAAGGCAACCGGCCUCGGGCGGCUGCCACUUUACACGUGGUGCGCCGCUUGCUUGAGGGAGGAGAAGUGAACAUAUAAUGGAAAAGUUUCUUUAAAAGAUUCACACGAGAGAGAGAGAGAGAGAGAGAGAGAGAGAGAGAGAGAGAGAGUGAGUGAAUGAAUUGUAAGGAAAGCAAAGGAAAACUCUCAACCUUGCCAUAUCUUCAAGUUGGACUGCCACCCCUAGGUUUUUUAGGCUUUACAUUCCCAGCUGGCUAACUUAGAGCUCCCACCCACCAUAAACUUUACACAUAGUAAUAUACAUCAGCAUUAUAAAAUCACUAAAUCAUUCUUUUUUUGUUACACAUAAAAUAACAAAAGGAGUGUGAGCCAUCUAGUUAACCUAAUGGUUAAUCUAAAGAUCUUUAGAUUGGGAGACAAAAUUUAAAACUUAAUAGCAAAUGACUUUAUGAAAUUUUUUUUUCUAAGUGUUAAAAGGGCUGUAAAAGAGGUGGGAGCCAAGGCCACCUUGCACUUGGCUCUAAUUAUGCCCGUACUAAUGGUAUUUCUCUUAUCUUUAAGUUCGAAAUCCCAAUAUAUUAUUAAUGUAUAAUUCAUAAAAUUUAAGCUAUAAUUACUAUUAAUAUUUCCAAAAUUAAAUAUUUUAGAUCUCUUAACUAUAAUUACCAUAUUAAAUUUUGGUGAUAAUACUUUAAUAUUAGAAAAUUAUUGUGCCGUUGACGGCAUAAAUUUCCAAAUAAGUAAGUGUUGAAAAAAGGUAUAUACAUGAGUGAGAGAGACUUUCCCUGUUCCUUGUGAUAAGUGAUUGACUGAUAAAUAGUCAGCCAACCAAACCAAGCCGAGCUGACAAGGAGCCGCCGUCGGUAGGCGGCGUUGGCGCUGAGCGUGAGCGUGAGCGUGUUUGUUUCUUUAAUUUCCAUGAUUUGGUUGUGUUGAUUGCACAUGAAAGAAGCAAGAAAACGAAGACCGAAAGAGAGAUGGAUGUUAAGAAGAGCUGUCGCUUCUGAGCAGUCUUUGUACCGAAAUUUGCCGUCGUGUCAUGGGUUUGGCUCAUUCUCAUUUCUCUGCCCCAUUCCCCCAAACCCAAAACCCAAAACCAACCUUUCGUUUCUUCUCUAUAUAAUAUAACCCAUAAGCCUCUCUCUCUCUCUCUCUCUCUAGUAUUUGCGUGCCAUGGGGCAUGUCGCUAAGAUCUCUCACUGAUCACGACGAGAUAACGAAUCAUAACUCGUGAUGAUCUGAUCACUACGAGCUUUUGAGCCAUUUAUAUCUAUUUAUAUUUAUAGAUAAAGGAGGGAUCUGCAUAACUACAUGCCACUUACUUGUCUCCACGACCUGAGAAUCUCUCUCUGAUUAAUGUUGCUCGCCAAUUAUUGAGGUUAGGCCUUUUCUCUCUUUUGGUUUUUUGUUCUUCUUCUUAAAUUUUGUGUAAAGUCGUAGAAUUGAGCUGCGAAUUCAUGAAUUGGGUAUUAGGAAGUGAAUUUGGGAGCUUCUUGUUGGGAAAAACCUUGCUUUCUUAGCUUAGCUUUGUUCAAUUUUGAGUUUGAAGGCAUGAAACAGAUAGAGUGUAAAAGGUAGAGAGUUUUUGGUGUGAAUGGGAUUUGAGAAUUGCUGGGUCGACGAGGAAAAGAACAAAAGUAAGGUUUAGGAGUGGACAGAGUGGGGUUUUAAGAAGAAAAAGAGAAAAGCCUAAAGGGGAAGUGAAAUUUUUUUAUAAAUAUAAAAAAGUAGGAAAAAGGCAACAAGAAUAACUCAAACAGGGAAGAGGGUGACCGGAAAAGAUCCAAGCCCAGAAGUGGUAAGGGCAAGUAAGGAUUGAUUCCAUUCUAAAGCCUCCCUCUUCUUCACACACGCAAAUACACCAAGACAUAUUGUCUUCUAGUUUUGUGUUAUUUUCAUCCAGUGCAUGUCAUGCACUUCAACUUUUGUCACUUGUUUAUGUUCCUUGUCUAAAUUGUUGUUCCAACCAGCUUCACCAGUAAGUUAAUGUGGUAAUUCAUGUUCUUAUUAUAUUUCAUUGCCUGAAGUUACUUGGAAGCAUUUGUGGUUUUAAGUUAUACUGGGUAUUGAUUCAUUUAGACCAUUUUAUGGUGAUUUGCAGAAAAAAAAAAUAUGGCAACUUUAGUUGAGCCCCCAGAUGGAAUUAGGCAACGGGGGAAGCAUUAUUACUCAAUGUGGCAAACAUUAUUUGAAGUUGACACCAAGUACGUUCCGAUCAAACCCAUAGGGCGAGGAGCAUAUGGCAUAGUGUGCUCGUCCAUCAAUAGGGUAACAAAUGAGAAAGUUGCAAUCAAGAAGAUCAAUAAUGUGUUUGAGAACCGAAUCGAUGCAUUGAGGACUCUGAGGGAGUUGAAGCUUCUUAGGCAUAUCCGGCACGAGAAUGUGAUUGCUUUGAAGGAUGUUAUGAUGCCUAUCCACAGGACAAGUUUCAAGGAUGUGUAUUUUGUUUAUGAGCUCAUGGAUACAGAUCUUCAUCAAAUUAUAAAGUCCUCUCAACCACUUACCAGUGACCAUUGCAAAUACUUUCUAUUUCAGGUAUUAGCUUCCUCUCAACUAGUGUUAUUUUACCUCAUUAAUUCUUUCAAGUAGGCAUUAUAAUUGGUUGAUGCUAAUUUUGUGCCAACUUAAUUCAUGCACACGAAUGAUUUUGGGAAUAGGAGUGGGAACUUAAUGAAUAGAACGCAUGUUACCAAUGAGACAUUGCAGCUUCUUGCAUUUUCUUAUUUAGAAAUUAACCUCUUGGGGUUCUGUGCAUUUCAAAGCUUGAAAAAAUGUGAUUAGAGACCAAGCUCCAGUUAAUUGUUUAGAUCUAUUUCUUCUAGGAGUUGUUCUGCUUGUGACUAAUUUUGACUUUGCAUUGUAGUUGCUUCGAGGUCUCAAGUAUCUUCACUCAGCAAACAUCCUUCACCGGGACUUGAAGCCUGGAAACCUGCUCAUCAAUGCUAACUGUGACUUAAAAAUAUGUGAUUUUGGGUUGGCCCGAACCAGUGGAGGUACUGGCCAAUUCAUGACAGAGUAUGUUGUCACUCGCUGGUAUCGUGCACCAGAGCUGCUAUUGUGCUGUGACAAUUAUGGAACAUCCAUUGACGUCUGGUCCGUAGGAUGCAUCUUUGCUGAGAUUCUUGGUCGGAAACCAAUCUUCCCUGGAACUGAAUGCCUCAACCAACUAAAACUAAUUAUCAAUGUUCUUGGUAGCCAGCAUGAACCUGAUCUUGCAUUCAUUGACAAUCCGAAAGCCAGGAAGUACAUCAAAUCACUGCCCUAUUCUAGGGGAACACAUUUUUCCCGUCUAUACCCCCAAGCUGAUCCGUUAGCUAUAGACUUGUUGCAAAGGAUGCUUGUGUUUGAUCCAACUAAGAGAAUCUCUGUCACCGAAGCACUCCAACACCCUUACAUGUCAGGGUUAUAUGAUCCAAGAUGCAAUCCUCCUGCCCAGGUUCCAAUCAACCUCGACAUAGAUGAGAAUUUAGCGGAACCAAUGAUUAGGGAGAUGAUGUGGCAUGAGAUGCUUCACUACCAUCCAGAAGCUGCUUUUGUGAAUGCCUAGGUAAUUUUCAAAAGGCUUUCCAGUUUCCUCAACAAUGCUUCUUCGUGCAAUUGGUUUAUAAUAGAAAACCAUGCAAUAGAGAAAUGUGUUGUUAGUAAUAAUGAUCUUAACAAGAUUUUGUAUUAUCUUGUUUGGUAGCUUGAGGUCUCUGAAUGGGACAUACUGUCUGGUAACUCUGUAUAUAAUUGUGCUUUGUUAUUUGAAAUGUACGACUAUAGUUCUGUAUUAUUGAUAAUGCACGUAAGACAUUUCCUAAGAAAUACCAAGGGAAUUGAAUAAAGAUGCGUCUAUUUUUAUUAUUGUUAGUUUCUUCUUUUUUUUCUUUUCUUGAUUUUCUCUACUCAAUCUUAAUAGGUGGAUGCAUGGGUCACUUACUCAAGCAUAUUGUAUAUGUUGAAACGUUUGCUGAUCUGGUUUACCUGAAAGGAAGUUAUACAAAUCUUUCCAAGUACUUUCACUUUAUGAUUUGGGCGAUAUGCUUAAUAGUUCAAUGCCCAUCAGAAGUAAGAAGGCCUAUCCUACGGCCAGCCCAAAUGGUUCAAGAGUCAUUCUACGGUGAGGUGAGGGUCUUAUAUAUGGUCCUUAAAUAAGAUUCUAUCUCUUAAUCGUUAAAUUAAAUUAAUUAAUUUAAUCUAAUGAUCAUUCAACAGAAAAAGAAAUUAUUAUCAAAGCUGCUACAUGGAAUGCUGCUUUUUAGGAAAGUACCCACCCUAUAUCCUACUCUAAAAAGCAUGUCACUUCCAAAAGUAUUAUAAAGAAAACAGAGCACACAAUUUGGGACCCAAGACCCGAUAUGCGCCCAACUUUUCUUAACCCCCAAAACGCACUAACAGCCCACCACUGCCCACUGCUCUUGCCCGGUUUCCUUUUGCCUUCCCUCCCUUCUUUUCAAAUAACUGGGUCCAAGCCUCCAAGGCAACUUGCAAGACCAUGUGCUUUUUUAAGGCACAUAAAAAAGUUGCUUCAGAUUUCAUUGGUUUUCAUAUAUCUUCUUGUGUUCACUGUUCAAUAUGAAAAGUAUGCUUGAAAGAGAACCAGCUGUGGCUGGCAUUUUUAAAUGAAAGAUUGCCUAAAUCUAAGCACAUGGGAUAUAAAAUGGGAAAUAUUUUUACUCACCACUUUAACUCAAGGGGUAUUUUCAUCAUCUUUCUCAUCACUUGACACGUGUCUAUUGAUAUAAUCAUAGUUAACUCUUUGUUUUGUAUUUAUAGAACUAUGAUUAUGUUCAUGAACACGUGUCAAGUGUUGAGAAUAAUGAUGAUGAUACACUUUGAGUUAAAGUGGUGAGCAAAAAUGCACAAAAAAAUAAUAAUCCAAUAAAUCAAUUCAUAAAACAAAUUGGUUGCUUAAAUUUAUAUGAAGUCUAGAAAAUGCAUACAAUUCAAACCAACGUUUUUGACCAAUCCCACUCCCUUUUUUUGUCUAAUUGAAAAUUGCAAGUUGUUGCUAAAUUGUGAUUGGAGUUGCAAGAUUUCUCAUGUUUACAGGGAGCAAAACAGAGCUGCUGAACACCUUGCUAAUUUGGGGUAUGAAUUACCUUGGCUUCAUAAUUUUGAGUCAGCUUUGGAUUCCAUUUUGAUCAUUUUGUUGUACAACGUGUUAGGAAGGGCCCUUGAAAGGGCAGUGAUCUGUUAGUUUUUUUCUUCUUAUUUCGUCUUGGCUUCGGCCUCCUUGUAACCAAAAAAAACAUUUAAGCAGAAACACAGGAGAAAUUAUUUUGAAUCUCAAAGCAACAAAGGUUCAAUUUGCUUUUUUCUGCUUGUGUCUUUUUAAAACACAUAGCUGCAAUGCUUGCCAAUGGGCACUGGUGUAGACUAGGAGAAACAAUUGUGUAAUAGGGAUAACAUUGUUUUGCUAUAUCCAACCAAUUACGCUACAUCACGCGUGACAAUUUUUUUAUUUGACAUAACGUGAUUGGUCGAAAGUAGCAAAUAGUGAUAUCCCCAUUUCAUAUAAAUUUUUCUGGAAGACUAUAGGGCGGCCCUGUCCUUUAAGCUGUAACCCUUCAUUAUUGAUCAAUGUUUAGGGACCAGCUUUCAGAAUUCUGACCACAUACAUGUGCCCUUUACUGCAGCAGUGUUUAUGCUUCUGGGAUCUUUUUUUUACCCUUUAAAAGAAAAUGCCACAUAAUAAAACUUUUACUGUCACAACAAUAGUUUCUCAAGAUGAGAUGAAAUAGUGCUCCUUUUGAGCAGUUUCACUUACAAAUUUACCUCAAAAAGUACAUCUCCAUUAUUUUUCAUGCUCAGUUUACCUCACAAAAUCAGAGGAAAGACUGACACAUUGAUUUUGAAGUAUACAUACCGUAUCAGUCAGGCUGCAACUUGGGGUCAAAAAAUACAAAGUCUUGCUAUUCUCUGCCAAUCAGGUUAUAUCAAGUGGAUAAAUUAUCAACCGUGCCAUAACGUGAUUAGUCAGACAUAACAAAACAGUGUUAUCCCGUUACACACAACACAAGUGUUUCUCAUUACCUUUUCCUUAUAAUUUUAUAUUGAGACAAUGAGACAUGUUCUUAAAUAUUCUUAAUAGUUUAUGUCUAUAUGGUGGGCGUUUCUGGUCUAUAUAUUCAACCCUCCACCACUCUUCAAAACCUCCUCUUCCUUAUCUUUUCUUCCUACUCUAAAAAUUGGUCUAAUCUCUAUCUCUGUCCCUCUGCUUCUCUCUGUUUUCCUCUCAUAGCUAUCUCUGUUUUCCUCUCAUAGCUAUCUCCCUGGUUCUGAAAACCUGUGUCUGCUUUAAAGUUCAUAACUUUGGGCACUUCUUUUUCUCCUUUAAUGCUUAACAUGCAUAGAUAUAGAUACAGUUGUAGAUGUUUGAGCUAGAUUGAUGUCUCCUGUACUUAGUGAAAUCCUGCUCUCUGGGUUUAUGGUAAAUUCCACUCUCAGGCGUAGAACCCACCUAGUUCAAUCCUUCUCUGUCUGCUUCCUCUACUGGUUCUAUGUGUUUUCAUGAACACCAUCUCUUCAUAAAAUAGCUCUGCAUCACAACUUAUAAGUAAUUAUAUUGCUUAUUUGAGGUUUUUUCAUUUUGUUUUCAAAAUUAGCAUCCGGGUUGUUUAAAUAAUCAUUCUAGUUUUAUUGGGUAAAAGAAAAGAUUGGUUUUUGAUUUUGUUAAGCAUAUUUUCCACAUGGGUUCUUCUAGUGGGGUUUCUUCAGGGUCAAGCAUGCUUCAGAACUCAGGCUCUGAUGAAGAUCUUCAUCAGGUCAUGGACCAAAGAAAGCGCAAAAGAAUGCUAUCCAAUCGGGAAUCGGCACGUAGAUCUAGGAUGCGCAAACAGGAGCAUCUGACCGAUCUGACGGCUCAAAUUGGUCUUCUGAAGAAGGAGAACCACCAAAUCCUCACAAGCAUGAAUGUGACCAACCAACUCUACAUGAACCUUGAGGCAGAGAACUCUGUCCUCAGAGCUCAGAUGGAUGAGCUCAGCAACAGACUGCAGUCUCUCAAUGAUAUCAUAGACUGCAUUAACUCAAGCAAAUGGCUUUUUGAGGCUGAAGAAGAAGACACUCAGAUUAUUGGUGGUGAUGGAUUUCUUAAUCCAUGGAGCACUCUCUGUUUGAACCAACCAAUUAUGGCUUCUGCUGACAUGUUUAUGUGUUAAUAAUCUUAAUUUAUUCAAAUCAUGGGUUAAGUGAGUUUUUCUGGUGGUGUUUUUCAGAAAUUAGUGAGUUUAAGAUGUGAGUUAGAAGCCCAUGUCAUGUGUAAAUUUGUUAUUAUAAUGAUGGAUGAGUCAUGGGUUUCAACUGUUCAACAUGUGGGCAUUGUGUAAGCAAUCAAUCUUUCUGGUAGCCAAUUACUUGAUUUAAUAAAAUCCAGUUGUAUUAUGUUCAUUUCCAGUUUAAUGGGUGCUCUGCUGGCCUAUUGUUUGUUUCUUUUGUUUUGUUUGUAUUUCAUGGUUGGAUUGGAUCAUAUGGUUAGACAAAUUUAGUGGACUCUGAAAGGUUGAUAUUUUUAUUUAAACUUUGCUUGGGUGCUUUGCUGGUGGGAUGAUGCUUUCUUCUAAGCAAUGUUGGGAAGCAUAAUGAACAUUACUUAAUUAUAAGAUCAUAGUCAUCAGACCAUUAUUAAUAUAAAACCUCUUCUCAUUUUUAUAUGCACGACAAAAUAUUAAUAACUCAUCAAUUGUCCCACGCAUUAUGAUUUUUCUUUCACACACAAUACCAAAGUGUCAUGGAGUUCAAACUUAAUCACUAAUUUGCAAAUCAAUGCACUUUUCCACUAGGCUAGACCCGAUUAGCAAAACUAAUGUUGUUUAAAGACAAAUCCUGUGACGUUUUGGAGUUUAUCAAGAAGGAAUAUUAUGUCCUUUCAAUUUUAUUUUAUUUUUUGUUUUAUCAGGAAAAGAGAAGAAGAAAAAGAGGCUAAGGAAUUGAAGUCAGAAAAGAGGUGCUCAUUUAGUUCUGUUGGCAAGCCAGCAGAGUGCCCAUUGUGCCACUGAGUGAUAAGAUCACAUUGAUCAACAAAUUUUUCAAAGCAAUGAAGAAUAUAAAUUAAGGCUUUGAGCCCCACUUACUAGUAUACUAUGAACAUAGACUACAAUACCUGUAUAACAAAAAUGCACGUUUUUUUUAAAAAAUCUAGUUCUUAAUGGGGAAAAUGAUUUUAAUGCAAAAGAUUAAAAAUAUAUAGGUAAGGCCUAGACCUAAUAGAGGUGAUUAAUUAAGUGUUAAACCAUGCUAUUACGUAUGUGUUGUUGGGCAUGGCACUUGCUCACCCACUAAUUCAAUUGAAAAAGAAAGGCUAAUUAAACAUAUGAUAAGUUUCAAUGUCCAUGGAAGGUGAUGAAAGCAUGUGGCCAACCAAUUAUGACAGACUUGCUCACAUGGACAAGAAAUUUAACUAUAAUUUGUGAAAGCUCUGUGCAUGUUUUUUCUUUUAUUGUUAGAAAAUAAAAAAGGUAGGCUUGAUCAUAGAAAUAAAAAGCCAUCUUUCCUUGGAAAAGGAAUUGCAAUUAUUGGCUUGACAUGCCUUGUUUUUUCUGUCUUUCUUCUUUUUAAUACAACCUUAGAAACUUAGCCAUUUCAUUUUGUAAAAUGCUUCAAGGGCAUCUCUAAUUACAUUGUAAUUCCUACUACAACACUAGUGGGAAGAUUGAACUAGUUUGGAUUGAAUAAUUUGAGCAUUUACGGUAUCGAAAUGUUUGCCGGACGAGAGCUUAAGAUUAUGACUUUCAUGUUGAACAAGAGAAUAACUGUUCUUUUCCACUCAGUCAUCAAGCAUAUCACAUCCCUUAACACAACAUUAAAUUUAAUACAGGAAAUAAAACUACCUCUGCUUACACAGGAGUAUACUUCCAAGGCUGUGAAGGGUAUCCAAGUCAUAAAGAUUUCAAAACUGCAAGACCUCUACAGGUGGGCACUUGUUUGUUCCCUAGAAAAUGGAAAAGCUCUAAGGUUUAAAGAGCAAAAAGAAACAAUAAACGAAAAAACAAUUCCUCAAUCAUCUUCUAAUUUAACCAGGUCAAGACCCAGGUGUGGUUCUGCUCUUCUUGAUGUAACUCCCAAAUCUUUGGGCAACUGCAGCAUCGUAUGACGUAUCCCAUACCUGAAAAUUCAACCACAUUGAAUUAGCAAUCAUCAUCCACCAUAGAAAAGCCUUUCAAAUAUCCAAAAAUCCACCCAUAAACAAGAUACAGAAAGAUGGCUCACUUCCAGAGUCCCUUUUGAGCCUCCUAUGGCAAGCAAAAACGGGUUAUCUUCCGAGAACGAAACAGAAAACACAGCUCCCUGACAACAUUCAGAAGAGAGUCCGACAAUCAAUCUCAUUGAAAAUAAACAAAUAAGAAAAAGAAGAAUAACUCAUUACAUUAGCAUAUAAAUCAUGUCACUUACAGCUUUAGGAUUCCUGGAUGAAAUGCAUGAGGGUUGGUUGUUUGACACAUCCCAAAGCUUUACCUGCAACAAAUAGUAGUGGAACAAUAUUAGGAUAUCCAAAUCUGGUUGGUAUACAGACUCAGCAGGUAAUGGGAAGAACAUAAUACCAUUUUGUCCGUGGAUCCAGUUGCAAGAAGCUGAAAAGAAAAGAACAAAGGUGAGAUUACACAUAAAUCAACAACAUAAAAAGUACCCAAAAAUGAAGAGAAAGAGGACUAUACAUUAGGUGCUGAGGGGUUAUAGGAGAUUGCGCAAACAGCUUUGUCGUGUGCAUGAAGAGUAAAACUAGGUUUAGACUCAGAAGUAGAAGAAGAUGUGGCAGCCCGAAUAUCAAAACCUUUGACUGUGCCGUCUUCAAGGCUCACCUGGAUGGAUUUACAAAAUGAAUGAUGAUCAAUAAAUGAUAAUUCUUAUCUAGCCAGAGAGUAACUGUAUCCACAUUAAAAGUACAUAUAAUACACACACACACAGGUGUUGAUACAAGGAAUCAACCAAAAAAAACGCAAAGAACUUCGUAAUUGAGUAUGAAAAAUGACUGUCUUAAGAACCAAAGCACACACCACAAAUGAAUGCUCAGUGUGUGGAUCCCAUGCUAAGCUUUCUACAUCAGCUGUGACUGUCCAUUUAUAGCCAGAAUGUGAUGACGCCCUCCCAUCUUUCUGGAAUGCAUAACAAUUAUAAAUUCACCAGUCAAUGAAAUUUUCAAAUAAGAAAGUUCCUUGACAAUGUCUAAAGUUUGUCGGAAAACAAAUAUAUGAAAAGAAUGUAACACUCAAGUAAAAAUAAUAUACCAAGACUACUGAAUGAUCAAAAGAUCCACUAAGAAGAACUUGAUGGGCAAAAUGAUUCCAUGCAACUGCCUGAACCUGUAAAAAUUAGAAUGAAGAAGUUAAAAUUGAGGUUAAAUUGCUAAAAUUGCAAGGAAAAGUCAGCUGAAAUCCUUAAAAUAGAGAGCUCAAGAUUGCAUUUGUUCUAUAGCACACCAUCCAAAAUAUGAUUUUGGGAUAAAAGAUAUAAAUGCAAUUCUUUCUAAAUUCUUGCCUUGUCUGUAUGAUGCUCCAUGGUAAUGGUACAUUUUCCGGUAGCCACAUCCCAAAUCUUAACUUGUUUGUCAGCACUUGCACUAGCAAGUACAUUUCUGUUUAUGGGAAAAGACAACAUCGAAUAUAAACCUUCCACUGAAGCAACAAGUAGUACAAAACUAUAAAAGAGUUAACAAACCUGUAGAACUUAUUCCAAGCAAGGCCAAGAACUGAAUCUCUGUGACUGCCUUCUUUGUAUUUGAUUGAUGCCUAACACAAAGCAAGUUGCAGAAUUGGUAAAAGGAAGUGACAAAGAAUUGCAUGAUUAUCAAACCCAGGCAUUGAAGGAAUUGAGCAUCAAACCUUCUUUCCUUUCUUUUUCUUCAUCUCAGCAAUACCGCCCAAUACCACACAUGGUUGUACUUCAUCAAUCUGAAAAACAGAAAAAAUGUUUAGAAAAAGCAAUAAUAUCUCCAUCAAUUUCCUACUUAAACCUACCUAAUGAGAGUAGAACGCAUAAACUACAUACAAUGUCAAGAUCCCAAAUCUCAAUGGAAGGUUCAUCCAUUAAACCAACAGCUAUGAAAUUCCCUGCCAGCAUAAAAAAAAAUAAUAUUUAACCAUCAAUUAAAUACAAAGGUAAAGCAAUGCAGAAACUGAAAACUUAUCCACGUUUUAAUAAACUUGUAAAAGAACCAGCUGUGGUUGGCAUCUUUAAUUGAAAGAUUGCCUAAAUCUAAGCACAUGGUAUCUAAAAAGAGGAAUAUCCCAUAUAUACAUGUAUUUGAGCAAGCAAUAUGUAAAUGAAAAUGGAGUAGACCUCAAAUAUCAAUAAAAAUCAGAACUGAUCCAAUAAACCAUACAAGGUUCAUAAAACAAAUUGGUUACUUAAAUUUAUGAAGUCUAGAGAAUGCAUAUGAUUCAAGUUUAAACACAUGAAAAAUUACUUUGAAUCUCAAAUUACUAUGAUUUCUAGUGAGAAAUUACAAUGCAUAAGAUAAUCAUCAUUUAAAUUCGCCAAAAAGAGAGCUAAUGGGUAACAGAAAUUUCGAGUUGAAGAAUCUAAAUUUUAACAAAAUUGUAAUUAAUAUCUAGGAAAACAACCAAUGAAGAUGAACAAUAAUCAGAUUCACCAAAUAGAGGCUAAUGAUUAACAGAAAUUUGAAAGAAGAAAAAGAAAAUAUUACAUUUUUCUUAAGAGAAGAAUAAAUUACAAUUAAAAAAUAUAAUUCACAUAUAUGAGUAAACUCAAGCAACUUCAACCAAAAUGCAUAACAUCACAUGAUUCGCACCUUUGUCUCCACCUUUGAGAGGACAAUCAAGCCAUGCUGUGCAAAGGGGGAACGAUGAAAUGAUGACGUCAUGGUGCACAUAAACAUUUGAUUCACCAUCUUCUGAUUCGACAUACAGCCAAAUCUGCUCAUACAUAAUUUAAUUAGUAUCAGUGACAAACCGACAAAGAGAAAUGAAACAAUAGUUUCAGCUAACUAUUACAUGCCUCAAGCUGGCUGACAUCAUCCUCAUUGCGGGCGCAGACUAUGACUGAAUCAGUCGGGUUAAUGGUCAUGUCAUCACUGUCUUCCGACUCCUCGUCCUUUGAUAAAAUAAAAAAUUGAAUAUGAAAAACUGAAUCCCUCUUCUAGCCUCACAAAACAAAAGAACAACAAAAACAGUGGCAUAAUUAAGUUGUAAAACUUACAUCAUCCUUAUCCUUGAGAUAUGGAUCCAUAUCAUUACUAGGGUAGUAAAGGUCUCCAAGCCCACUACUAAACGGGUCAAUGCCUAGGGUUAGACAUAAGAAGAAGCACUGUUAGCUAUAUAUCUUAAUUGACACUCAUGAGAGGAAACAUAUAAACUAUAGUACUAAUAACGCCAUUUAAAACUUAAGCAAAUUACUACUCUGUAACUUCAACAAUGCUUCAAGUUCAACCUUGUCUAAUAGCUUAAACUUUGGUCAUGUCAACAAUGCUUCAAGUUCAACACCUCCAGCUUAAGCAACAUUGUGAAUAAUCCCCCUUAUACUCCAAAAAUGAAUUCAAGAAAAUAAGAUAAAAUAGAAAUACCAUCCUCCUCAUCAUCAUAAUGUUCCAUGUCAAGUUCCCUCAAUCCAUCGGUUAUAUCAUCAAAUUUGGUCCCUGACUCUGUAACUUUAGAAGCUUUGCCGAGUGCUUUUGCUACCUCUAAUGCUUGGGAGAUUUGAUCAUCCUUCUUGGGGGUUUCAACAUCCAUUUCUCCAUCACCGUCCUCACUUUCACCAUCUCCACUGCACAAAACAACACCCACCACAACCAUACAAGUCAGCAAGUCGAAAAUCAACACCAAAAUGCAUAGACCCUCUUUGCCAAAGAGCAAACACGUGACAAAUAUACUCCAUGAAAAAUUCAAUCUUUUCCUUUUGCUUCCAGAAAGAAACUACCAACCCCAUAAAGAACAAGACCAACAAUUUGUUGCAAAAGAAGUGAUCGUCUUUAACAAAAAAAAAUCAAUGAGUUCAGAGCUUAGCCUCAGAACAAUAACAGCUAUCAGAACAGACAAUGGUCAUUCAGCAUCAAUAAAGCACUCAACGAUCACAAAAAUUAGACAAAUAAAAAAAGAGCUGAAGAACUUCACCUUCUCUCCAAAGCACCGGUUUUGAUUAACUCAUCGAUUUCCUCUUUGGUGGGCGGGUCGGCGACUGAGGGAACUGGCUUUGAAACUCCUCUGGGCACCCAAGAAAUUGCUGAUAUCAUUUCCUCUUCUUCGUUUUUUAAAACUUGGUUGAGCUUAAAUUGCUGUGUUUGACGAAGGUGGAGGUUUCAGGAGCUAUGAAAUUUGGCGGUGGAGCAACGAGGACUGUAUAUCUGUUGCCGCUCCUCGAUGGUGAAAAAUAGGGUUUUAAUACAAUUUCGGACCCGUUUGGUUAUAGGGAUAUUCCUAAACCCAAUCAGAUUAGAGUUUUGCUAACGUUUUCUUCAUUUGUUUUUUUUUUUUUUUUUAUAGUUUGGUUUUUGUUUUGUUUUUCAACUACUUCUUUUAACUUCUUUAUUUUUUCUUUGCCAAAGUUUACACAUGGAAAACAAAUUUUAAAAAGUCGAGUAUAGCCGCGCGGCUAUACUAUUCACACACACUAAAAAAAGGGAACUGCUGCGCAGAGCCCAGGCAUCCACGUGUAAAAUUGUAUAGCCGUGCGGCUGUACUUUUUUACAAAUGAAUUCAAAAACCUGAGUAUAGCCGUGCGGCUAUACUUUUUUUAAUAUAAAAAAGGAGCACCCAAGAAGCCACGUGUCAAAAAAAUCCAUUUUUAAAAAAAAUAAAAAAACACGGAGUAUAGCCGUGCGGCUGUACUAUUUUUCCUUUUUUUAUUUAUUCAUAAAGUCGACCCUUUAUCGUUUACCGCCACGUGUCGAAAAAUAGUAUAGCCGCUAUACUAUUUUUUAUAUGAAAAAUCGUAGUAUAGCCGCCCGGCUAUACUAUUUAAAUACAUUGUAUUUAAAAAUUAUGGCAGCACAGCUACACUAUUUAAUAAAAAUAUGAAAAAUAAAAUAGGACCCUCCUAGUUGCUUUAGUUUGUACCAUAUAAAUAUUAAUUUGCUAGGUUCAACAUAUCCAAAGUAGAUAUUAAUCUUCCACUAUAUGAUAUUUUAAUAUAAUUUUGCACACAUAUGUUAUUCUUAUUCAAUAAUAUGAGAGAAUUAUUUGUAUCAUACGUUUAAUAAUGUUUUAUAUACGUAUUUCUCAUGUUUAGUGCACUUAAUUUUAACAAAAAUUUCAGUAAGACGCAAAAUUCACGUAUUAUAUACAAAAUUCUAACAUAUUAUUGAAUAAAAAUAAUAUAUAUGUAAAAAAAAUCUCAGUUUUUCAUAAUUGUUUAUUAAAAAUAGUAUAGCCGCGCGGCUAUACUCUUUUUCAAAAAUUUUAAUUAAAAAUAGUACAGCCGCCCUGCUGUAACCGUUUGCCACGUGGCGCAUAGGCCUUGGCCGGUGUAAAAAGAGUAUAGCCGCCCGGCUACACUGGAUUCUUUUUGAAUUUUGUUCUAGAAAUAGUAUCGCCGCACGGCUAUACUUAUUUUCCCCAAAUUUUUUUUAAGUAGGCUGUGACACGCGGCACCUAUGCGCUGGGGCAUCUCUUUUUUUAAUAUAUAAAUAGUACAGCCGUUCGGCUGUACUUUUACAAAAUAAAAUUCAAUUUGCCACGUGGCGCAUAGUCCUUGGCCGGUGUAAAAAGAGUAUAGCCGCCCGGCUAUACCGGAUUCUUUUUUGAAUUUUCUUCUAGAAAUGGUAUAGCCGCACGGCUAUACUUAUUUUCCCCUAUUUUUUUUAAUUAGGCUGUGACACGCGGCACCUAUGCGCUGGGGCACCCUUUUUUUUAAUACAUAAAUAGUAUAGCCGCGCGGCUGUACUUUUAAAAAAGAAAAUUUAAUCCCAUUUACAAAAAAUUUAGUUUCUUUACUUUUCUUUUUUGACCUACUUCUUUUAUUUAAUAUAUGUAAUUGAGCAAUAUCUUAGCUUUUUUGAAUUACUUUAAUCACUACUUGUAUUUUAAUAUAUAUAUAUAUAACAAUUUCAAGUAAAAGUCCCCAAAAUAAUUCAUUUAUAUUUAUUAAGUCUUUCGAGAACUCGUUUGGGUGUCUUGAUUAAAUUUCUCCGUAGCCCAAGAGCCCUAUCUCUUAUUAUUAGGCCAUUGCUCGGGUAUCUAGUGUCCCUUUUUGAUUUUUUUUCUUUUCCAAAGCUAUUACCCGCAUAAAUAUUUUUGCACUUUCACGUUUAAUAAUGUUUUAUACACGUAUUUCUCAUGUUUAGUGCACUUAAUUUUAACAAAAAUUUCAGUAAUACGCAAAAUUCACGUAUUAUACACAUAAUUCUAACAUAUUAUUGAAUAAAAAUAAUAUAUAUGUAAAAAAAAAUCUCAGUUUUUCCAUAAUUGUUUAUUAAAAAUAGUAUAGCCGCGCGGCUAUACCCUUUUUCAAAAAUUUUAAUUAAAAAUAGUACAGCCGCCCUGCUGUAACCGUUUGCCACGUGGCGCAUAGGCCUUGGCCGGUGUAAAAAGAGUAUAGCCGACCGGCUACACUGGAUUCUUUUUGAAUUUUGUUCUAGAAAUAGUAUAGCCGCACGGCUAUACUUAUUUUCCCCAAAUUUUUUUUAAGUAGGCUGUGACACGCUGCACCUAUGCGCUGGGGCAUCCCUUUUUUUAAUAUAUAAAUAGUACAGCCGUUCGGCUGUACCUUUACAAAAUAAAAUUCAAUUUGCCACGUGGCAAAUAGUCCUUGGCCGGUGUAAAAAGAGUAUAGCCGCCCGGCUAUACCGGAUUCUUUUUUGAAUUUUCUUCUAGAAAUAGUAUAGCCGCCCGGCUAUACUUAUUUUCCCCUGUUUUUUUAAUUAGGCUGUGACACGCGGCACCUAUGCGCUGGGGCAUCCUUUUUUUUAAUACAUAAAUAGUAUAGCCGCGCGGCUGUACUGUUAAAAAAGAAAAUUUAAUCCCAUUUACAAAAAAUUUAGUUUCUUUACUUUUCUUUUUUGACCUACUUCUUUUAUUUAAUAUAUGUAAUUGAGCAAUAUCUUAGCUUUUUCGAAUUACUUUAAUCACUACUUGUAUUUUAAUAUAUAUAUAUAUAUAACAAUUUCAAGUAAAAGUCCCCAAAAUAAUUCAUUUAUAUUUAUUAAGUCUUUUGAGAACUCGUUUGGGUGUCUUAAUUAAAUUUCUCCGUAGCCCAAGAGCCCUAUCUCUUAUUAUUAGGCCAUUGCUCGGGUAUCUAGUGUCCCUUUUUGAUUUUUUUUCUUUUCCAAAGCUAUUACCCGCAUAAAUAUUUUUGCACUUUCACGUUUAAUAAUGUUUUAUACACGUAUUUCUCAUGUUUAGUGCACUUAAUUUUAACAAAAAUUUCAGUAAUACGCAAAAUUCACGUAUUAUACACAUAAUUCUAACAUAUUAUUGAAUAAAAAUAAUAUAUAUGUAAAAAAAAUCUCAGUUUUUCCAUAAUUGUUUAUUAAAAAUAGUAUAGCCGAGCGGCUAUACUCUUUUUCAAAAAUUUUAAUUAAAAAUAGUACAGCCGCCCUGCUGUAACCGUUUGCCACGUGGCGCAUAGGCCUUGGCCGGUGUAAAAAGAGUAUAGCCGCCCGGCUACACUGGAUUCUUUUUGAAUUUUGUUCUAGAAACUUAUUUUCCCCAAAUUUUUUUUAAGUAGGCUGUGACACGCGGCACCUAUGCGCUGGGGCAUCCCUUUUUUUAAUAUAUAAAUAGUACAGCCGUUCGGCUGUACUUUUACAAAAUAAAAUUCAAUUUGCCACGUGGCACAUAGUCCUUGGCCGGUGUAAAAAGAGUAUAGCCGCCCGGCUAUACCGGAUUCUUUUUUGAAUUUUCUUCUAGAAAUAGUAUAGCCGCACGGCUAUACUUAUUUUCCCCUGUUUUUUUUAAUUAGGCUGUGACACGCGGCACCUAUGCGCUGGGGCAUCCUUUUUUUUAAUACAUAAAUAGUAUAGCCGCGCGGCUGUACUUUUAAAAAAGAAAAUUUAAUCCCAUUUACAAAAAAUUUAGUUUCUUUACUUUUCUUUUUUGACCUACUUCUUUUAUUUAAUAUAUGUAAUAGAGCAAUAUCUUAGCUUUUUUGAAUUACUUUAAUCACUACUUGUAUUUUAAUAUAUAUAUAUAUAUAUAUAACAAAUUCAAGUAAAAGUCCCCAAAAUAAUUCAUUUAUAUUUAUUAAGUCUUUUGAAAACUCGUUUGGGUGUCUUAAUUAAAUUUCUCCAUAGCCCAAGAGCCCUAUCUCUUAUUAUUAGGCCAUUGCUCGGGUAUCUAGUGUCCCUUUUUGAUUUUUUUUCUUUUCCAAAGCUAUUACCCGCAUAAAUAUUUUUGCACUUUCACGUUUAAUAAUGUUUUAUACACGUAUUUCUCAUGUUUAGUGCACUUAAUUUUAACAAAAAUUUCAGUAAUACGCAAAAUUCACGUAUUAUACACAUAAUUCUAACAUAUUAUUGAAUAAAAAUAAUAUAUAUGUAAAAAAAAAUCUCAGUUUUUCCAUAAUUGUUUAUUAAAAAUAGUAUAGCCGCGCGGCUAUACCCUUUUUCAAAAAUUUUAAUUAAAAAUAGUACAGCCGCCCUGCUGUAACCGUUUGCCACGUGGCGCAUAGGCCUUGGCCGGUGUAAAAAGAGUAUAGCCGACCGGCUACACUGGAUUCUUUUUGAAUUUUGUUCUAGAAAUAGUAUAGCCGCACGGCUAUACUUAUUUUCCCCAAAUUUUUUUUAAGUAGGCUGUGACACGCUGCACCUAUGCGCUGGGGCAUCCCUUUUUUUAAUAUAUAAAUAGUACAGCCGUUCGGCUGUACCUUUACAAAAUAAAAUUCAAUUUGCCACGUGGCAAAUAGUCCUUGGCCGGUGUAAAAAGAGUAUAGCCGCCCGGCUAUACCGGAUUCUUUUUUGAAUUUUCUUCUAGAAAUAGUAUAGCCGCCCGGCUAUACUUAUUUUCCCCUGUUUUUUUAAUUAGGCUGUGACACGCGGCACCUAUGCGCUGGGGCAUCCUUUUUUUUAAUACAUAAAUAGUAUAGCCGCGCGGCUGUACUGUUAAAAAAGAAAAUUUAAUCCCAUUUACAAAAAAUUUAGUUUCUUUACUUUUCUUUUUUGACCUACUUCUUUUAUUUAAUAUAUGUAAUUGAGCAAUAUCUUAGCUUUUUCGAAUUACUUUAAUCACUACUUGUAUUUUAAUAUAUAUAUAUAUAUAUAACAAUUUCAAGUAAAAGUCCCCAAAAUAAUUCAUUUAUAUUUAUUAAGUCUUUUGAGAACUCGUUUGGGUGUCUUAAUUAAAUUUCUCCGUAGCCCAAGAGCCCUAUCUCUUAUUAUUAGGCCAUUGCUCGGGUAUCUAGUGUCCCUUUUUUAUUUUUUUUCUUUUCCAAAGCUAUUACCCGCAUAAAUAUUUUUGCACUUUCACGUUUAAUAAUGUUUCAUACACGUAUUUCUCAUGUUUAGUGCACUUAAUUUUAACAAAAAUUUCAGUAAUACGCAAAAUUCACGUAUUAUACACAUAAUUCUAACAUAUUAUUGAAUAAAAAUAAUAUAUAUGUAAAAAAAAUCUCAGUUUUUCCAUAAUUGUUUAUUAAAAAUAGUAUAGCCGCGCGGCUAGACUCUUUUUCAAAAAUUUUAAUUAAAAAUAGUACAGCCGCCGUGCUGUAACCGUUUGCCACGUGGCGCAUAGGCCUUGGCCGGUGUAAAAAGAGUAUAGCCGACCGGCUACACUGGAUUCUUUUUUGAAUUUUGUUCUAGAAAUAGUAUAGCCGAACGGCUAUACUUAUAUUCCCCAAAUUUUUUUUAAGUAGGCUGUGACACGCGGCACCUAUGCGCUGGGGCAUCCCUUUUUUUAAUAUAUAAAUAGUACAGCCGUUCGGCUGUACUGUUACAAAAUAAAAUUCAAUUUGCCACGUGGCACAUAGUCCUUGGCCGGUGUAAAAAGAGUAUAGCCGCCCGGCUAUACCGGAUUCUUUUUUGAAUUUUCUUCUAGAAAUAGUAUAGCCGCCCGGCUAUACUUAUUUUCCCCUGUUGUUUUUAAUUAGGCUGUGAAACGCGGCACCUAUGCGCUGGGGAAUCCUUUUUUUUAAUACAUAAAUAGUAUAGCCGCGCGGCUGUACUUUUAAAAAAGAAAAUUUAAUCCCAUUUACAAAAAAUUUAGUUUCUUUACUUUUCUUUUUUGACCUACUUCUUUUAUUUAAUAUAUGUAAUUGAGCAAUAUCUUAGCUUUUUUGAAUUACUUUAAUCACUACUUGUAUUUUAAUAUAUAUAUAUAUAUAUAUAUAUAUAACAAUUUCAAGUAAAAGUCCCCAAAAUAAUUCAUUUAUAUUUAUUAAGUCUUUUGAGAACUCGUUUGGGUGUCUUAAUUAAAUUUCUCCGUAGCCCAAGAGCCCUAUCUCUUAUUAUUAGGCCAUUCCUCGGGUAUCUAGUGUCCCUUUUUGAUUUUUUUUCUUUUCCAAAGCUAUUACCCGCAUAAAUAUUUUUGCACUUUCACGUUUAAUAAUGUUUCAUACACGUAUUUCUCAUGUUUAGUGCACUUAAUUUUAACAAAAAUUUCAGUAAUACGCAAAAUUCACGUAUUAUACACAUAAUUCUAACAUAUUAUUGAAUAAAAAUAAUAUAUAUGUAAAAAAAAUCUCAGUUUUUCCAUAAUUGUUUAUUAAAAAUAGUAUAGCCGCGCGGCUAUACUCUUUUUCAAAAAUUUUAAUUAAAAAUAGUACAGCCGCCCUGCUGUAACCGUUUGCCACGUGGCGCAUAGGCCUUGGCCGGUGUAAAAAGAGUAUAGCCGCCCGGCUACACUGGAUUCUUUUUGAAUUUUGUUCUAGAAAUAGUAUAGCCGCACGGCUAUACUUAUUUUCCCCAAAUUUUUUUUAAGUAGGUUGUGACACGCGGCACCUAUGCGCUGGGGCAUCCCUUUUUUUAAUAUAUAAAUAGUACAGCCGUGCGGCUGUACUUUUACAAAAUAAAAUUCAAUUUGCCACGUGGCACAUAGUCCUUGGCCGGUGUAAAAAGAGUAUAGCCGCCCGGCUAUACCGGAUUCUUUUUUGAAUUUUCUUCUAGAAAUAGUAUAGCCGCACGGCUAUACUUAUUUUCCCCUGUUUUUUUUAAUUAGGCUGUGACACGCGGCACCUAUGCGCUGGGGCAUCCUUUUUUUUAAUACAUAAAUAGUAUAGCCGCGCGGCUGUACUUUUAAAAAAGAAAAUUUAAUCCCAUUUACAAAAAAUUUAGUUUCUUUACUUUUCUUUUUUGACCUACUUCUUUUAUUUAAUAUAUGUAAUUGAGCAAUAUCUUUGCUUUUUUGAAUUACUUUAAUCACUACUUGUAUUUUAAUAUAUAUAUAUAUAUAACAAUUUCAAGUAAAAGUCCCCAAAAUAAUUCAUUUAUAUUUAUUAAGUCUUUUGAAAACUCGUUUGGGUGUCUUAAUUAAAUUUCUCCAUAGCCCAAGAGCCCUAUCUCUUAUUAUUAGGCGAUUGCUCGGGUAUCUAGUGUCCCUUUUUGAUUUUUUUUCUUUUCCAAAGCUAUUACCCGCAUAAAUAUUUUUGCACUUUCACGUUUAAUAAUGUUUUAUACACGUAUUUCUCAUGUUUAGUGCACUUAAUUUUAACAAAAAUUUCAGUAAUACGCAAAAUUCACGUAUUAUACACAUAAUUCUAACAUAUUAUUGAAUAAAAAUAAUAUAUAUGUAAAAAAAAUCUCAGUUUUUCCAUAAUUGUUUAUUAAAAAUAGUAUAGCCGAGCGGCUAUACUCUUUUUCAAAAAUUUUAAUUAAAAAUAGUACAGCCGCCGUGCUGUAACCGUUUGCCACGUGGCGCAUAGGCCUUGGCCGGUGUAAAAAGAGUAUAGCCGACCGGCUACACUGGAUUCUUUUUGAAUUUUGUUCUAGAAAUAGUAUAGCCGCGCGGCUAUACGUAUUUUCCCCAAAUUUUUUUUAAGUAGGCUGUGACACGCGGCACCUAUGCGCUGGGGCAUCCCUUUUUUUAAUAUAUAAAUAGUACAGCCGUUCGGCUGUACUUUUACAAAAUAAAAUUCAAUUUGCCACGUGUCACAUAGUCCUUGGGCGGUGUAAAAAGAGUAUAGCCGCCCCGCUAUACCGGAUUCUUUUUUGAAUUUUCUUCUAGAAAUAGUAUAGCCGCACGGCGAUACUUAUUUUCCCCUAUUUUUUUUAAUUAGGCUGUGNNNNNNNNNNNNNNNNNNNNNNNNNNNNNNNNNNNNNNNNNNNNNNNNNNNNNNNNNNNNNNNNNNNNNNNNNNNNNNNNNNNNNNNNNNNNNNNNNNNNCUAUGCGGUUGUGCAUCCUUUUUUUUUAUACAUAAAUAGUAUAGCCGUGCGGCUGUACUUUAAAAAAAGAAAAUUUAAUCCCAUGUACAAAAAAUUUAGUUUCUUUACUUUUCUUUUUUGACCUACUUCUUUUAUUUAAUAUAUGUAAUUGAGCAAUAUCUUAGCUUUUUUGAAUUACUUUAAUCACUACUUGUAUUUUAAUAUAUAUAUAUAUAUAUAUAUAUAUAACAAAUUCAAGUAAAAGUCCCCAAAAUAAUUCAUUUAUAUUUAUUAAGUCUUUUGAGAACUCGUUUGGGUGUCUUAAUUAAAUUUCUCCAUAGCCCAAGAGCCCUAUCUCUUAUUAUUAGGCCAUUGCUCGGGUAUCUAGUGUCCCUUUUUGAUUUUUGUUCUUUUCCAAAGCUAUUACCCGCAUAAAUAUUUUUGCACUUUCACGUUUAAUAAUGUUUUAUACACGUAUUUCUCAUGUUUAGUGCACUUAAUUUUAACAAAAAUUUCAGUAAUACGCAAAAUUCACGUAUUAUACACAUAAUUCUAACAUAUUAUUGAAUAAAAAUAAUAUAUAUGUAAAAAAAAUCUCAGUUUUUCCAUAAUUGUUUAUUAAAAAUAGUAUAGCCGCGCGGCUAUACUCUUUUUCAAAAAUUUUAAUUAAAAAUAGUACAGCCGCCGUGCUGUAACCGUUUGCCACGUGGCGCAUAGGCCUUGGCCGGUGUAAAAAGAGUAUAGCCGACCGGCGACACUGGAUUCUUUUUGAAUUUUGUUCUAGAAAUAGUAUAGCCGCACGGCUAUACUUAUUUUCCCCAAAUUUUUUUAAGUAGGCUGUGACACGCGGCACCUAUGCGCUGGGGCAGCCCUUUUUUUAAUAUAUAAAUAGUACAGCCGGUCGGCUGUACUUUUACAAAAUAAAAUUCAAUUUGCCACGUGGCACAUAGUCCUUGGCCGGUGUAAAAAGAGUAUAGCCGCCCGGCUAUACCGGAUUGUUUUUUGAAUUUUCUUCUAGAAAUAGUAUAGCCGCACGGCUAUACUUAUUUUCCCCUGUUUUUUUUAACUAGGCUGUGACACGCGGCACCUAUGCGCUUGGGCAUCCUUUUUUUUUUAAUACAUAAAUCGUAUAGCCGUGCGGCUGUACUUUAAAAAAAGAAAAUUUAAUCCCAUUUACAAAAAUUUAGUUUCUUUACUUUUCUUUUUUGACCUACUUUUUUUAUUNNNNNNNNNNNNNNNNNNNNNNNNNNNNNNNNNNNNNNNNNNNNNNNNNNNNNNNNNNNNNNNNNNNNNNNNNNNNNNNNNNNNNNNNNNNNNNNNNNNNNNNNNNNNNNNNNNNNNNNNNNNNNUCUUUUGAGAACUCGUUUGGGUGUCUUAAUUAAAUUUUUCCGUAAGCCCAAGAGCCCUAUCUCUUAUUGUUAGGCCAUUGCUCGGGUAUCUAGUGUCCCUUUUUGAUUUUUUUUCUUUUCCAAGCUAUUACCCGCAUAAAUAUUUUUGCACUUUCACGUUUAAUAAUGUUUGACACACGUAUUUCUCAUGUUUAGUGCACUUAAUUUUAACAAAAAUUUCAGUAAUACGCAAAUUCACGUAUUAUACACAUAAUUCUAACAUAUUAUUGAAUAAAAAUAAUAUAUAUGUAAAAAAAAUCUCAGUUUUUCCAUAAUUGUUUAUUAAAAAUAGUAUAGCCGGGCGGCUAUACUCUUUUNNNNNNNNNNNNNNNNNNNNNNNNNNNNNNNNNNNNNNNNNNNNNNNNNNNNNNNNNNNNNNNNNNNNNNNNNNNNNNNNNNNNNNNNNNNNNNNNNNNNGCUACACUGGAUUCUUUUUGAAUUUUGUUCUAGAAAUAGUAUAGCCGCACGGCUAUACUUAUUUUCCCCAAAUUUUUUUUAAGUAGGCUGUGACACGCGGCACCUAUGCGCUGGGGCAUCCCUUUUUUUAAGAUAUAAAUAGUACAGCCGUUCGGCUGUACUGUUACAAAAUAAAAUUCAAUUUGCCACGUGGCACAUAGUCCUUGGCCGGUGUAAAAAGAGUAUAGCCGCCCGGCUAUACCGGAUUCUUUUUUGAAUUUUCUUCUAGAAAUAGUAUAGCCGCCCGGCGAUACUUAUUUUCCCCUGUUUUUUUUAAUUAGGCUGUGACACGCGGCACCUAUGCGCUGGGGCAUCCUUUUUUUUAAUACAUAAAUAGUAUAGCCGCGCGGCUGUACGUUUAAAAAAGAAAAUUUAAUCCCAUUUACAAAAUAUUUAGUUUCUUUACUUUUCUUUUUUGACCUACUUCUUUUAUUUAAUAUAUGUAAUUGAGCAAUAUCUUAGCUUUUUUGAAUUACUUUAAUCACUACUUGUAUUUUAAUAUAUAUAUAUAUAACAAUUUCAAGUAAAAGUCCCCAAAAUAAUUCAUUUAUAUUUAUUAACUCUUUUGAGAACUCGUUUGGGUGUCUUAAUUAAAUUUCUCCGUAUCCCAAGAGCCCUAUCUCUUAUUAUUAGGCCAUUGCUCGGGUAUCUAGUGUUCCUUUUUGAUUUUUUUUCUUUUCCAAAGCUAUUACCCGCAUAAAUAUUUUUGCACUUUCACGUUUAAUAAUGUUUUAUACACGUAUUUCUCAUGUUUAGUGCACUUAAUUUUAACAAAACUUUCAGUAAUACGCAAAAUUCACGUAUUAUACACAUAAUUCUAACAUAUUAUUGAAUAAAAAUAAUAUAUAUGUAAAAAAAAUCUCAGUUUUUCCAUAAUUGUUUAUUAAAAAUAGUAUAGCCGCGCGGCUAUACUCUUUUUCAAAAAUUUUAAUUAAAAAUAGUACAGCCGCCGUGCUGUAACCGUUUGCCACGUGGCGCAUAGGCCUUGGCCGGUGUAAAAAGAGUAUAGCCGACCGGCGACACUGGAUUCUUUUUGAAUUUUGUUCUAGAAAUAGUAUAGCCGCACGGCUAUACUUAUUUUCCCCAAAUUUUUUUAAGUAGGCUGUGACACGCGGCACCUAUGCGCUGGGGCAGCCCUUUUUUUAAUAUAUAAAUAGUACAGCCGGUCGGCUGUACUUUUACAAAAUAAAAUUCAAUUUGCCACGUGGCACAUAGUCCUUGGCCGGUGUAAAAAGAGUAUAGCCGCCCGGCUAUACCGGAUUGUUUUUUGAAUUUUCUUCUAGAAAUAGUAUAGCCGCACGGCUAUACUUAUUUUCCCCUGUUUUUUUUAACUAGGCUGUGACACGCGGCACCUAUGCGCUUGGGCAUCCUUUUUUUUUUAAUACAUAAAUCGUAUAGCCGUGCGGCUGUACUUUAAAAAAAGAAAAUUUAAUCCCAUUUACAAAAAAUUUAGUUUCUUUACUUUUCUUUUUUGACCUACUUUUUUUAUUUAAUAUAUGUAAUUGAGCAAUAUCUUAGCUUUUUGGAAUUACUUUAAUCAGUACUUGUAUUUUAAUAUAUAUAUAUAACAAUUUCAAGUAAAAGUCCCCAAAAUAAUUCAUUUAUAUUUAUUAAGUCUUUUGAGAACUCGUUUGGGUGUCUUAAUUAAAUUUCUCCGUAGCCCAAGAGCCCUAUCUCUUAUUAUUAGGCCAUUGCUCGGGUAUCUAGUGUCCCUUUUUGAUUUUUUUUCUUUUCCAAAGCUAUUACCCGCAUAAAUAUUUUUGCACUUUCACGUUUAAUAAUGUUUUAUACACGUAUUUCUCAUGUUUAGUGCACUUAAUUUUAACAAAACUUUCAGUAAUACGCAAAAUUCACGUAUUAUGCACAUAAUUCUAACAUAUUAUUGAAUAAAAAUAAUAUAUAUGUAAAAAAAAUCUCAGUUUUUCCAUAAUUGUUUAUUAAAAAUAGUAUAGCCGGGCGGCUAUACGCUUUUUCAAAAAUUUUAAUUAAAAAUAGUACAGCCGCCCUGCUGUAACCAUUUGCCACGUGGCGCAUAGGCCUUGGCCGGUGUGAAAAGCGUAUAGCCGCCCGGCUACACUGGAUUCUUUUUGAAUUUUGUUCUAGAAAUAGUAUAGCCGCACGGCUAUACUUAUUUUCCCCAAAUUUUUUUUAAGUAGGCUGUGACACGCGGCACCUAUGGGCUGGGGCAUCCCUUUUUUUAAUAUAUAAAUAGUACAGCCGUGCGGCUGUACUUUUACAAAAUAAAAUUCAAUUUUCCACGUGGCACAUAGUCCUUGGGCGGUGUAAAAAGAGUAUAGCCGCCCUGCUAUACCGGAUUCUUUUUUGAAUUUUCUUCUAGAAAUAGUAUAGCCGCACGGCUAUACUUAUUUUCCCCUAUUUUUUUUAAUGAGGCUGUGACACGCGGCACCUAUGCGCUGGGGCAUCCUUUUUUUUUAAUACAUAAAUAGUAUAGCCGUGCGGCGGUACUUUUAAAAAAGAAAAUUUAAUCCCAUUUACAAAAAAUUUAGUUUCUUUACUUUUCUUUUUUGACCUACUUCUUUUAUUUAAUAUAUGUAAUUGAGCAAUAUCUUAGCUUUUUUGAAUUACUUUAAUCACUACUUGUAUUUUAAUAUAUAUAUAUAUAUAUAUAUAUAUAACAAAUUCAAGUAAAAGUCCCCAAAAUAAUUCAUUUAUAUUUAUUAAGUCUUUUGAAAACUCGUUUGGGUGUCUUAAUUAAAUUUCUCCAUAGCCCAAGAGCCCUAUCUCUUAUUAUUAGGCCAUUGCUCGGGUAUCUAGUGUCCCUUUUUGAUUUUUUUUCUUUUCCAAAGCUAUUACCCGCAUAAAUAUUUUUGCACUUUCACGUUUAAUAAUGUUUUAUACACGUAUUUCUCAUGUUUAGUGCACUUAAUUUUAACAAAAAUUUCAGUAAUACGCAAAAUUCACGUAUUAUACACAUAAUUCUAACAUAUUAUUGAAUAAAAAUAAUAUAUAUGUAAAAAAAAUCUCAGUUUUUCCAUAAUUGUUUAUUAAAAAUAGUAUAGCCGCGCGGCUAUACUCUUUUUCAAAAAAUUUAAUUAAAAAUAGUACCGCGGCCGUGCUGUAACCGUUUGCCACGUGGCGCAUAGGCCUUGGCCGGUGUAAAAAGAGUAUAGCCGCCCGGCUAAACUGGAUUCUUUUUGAAUUUUGUUCUAGAAAUAGUAUAGCCGCACGGCUAUACUUAUUUUCCCCAAAUUUUUUUUAAGUAGGCUGUGACACGCGGCACCUAUGCGCUGGGGCAUCCCUUUUUUUAAUAUAUAAAUAGUACAGCCGUGCGGCUGUACUUUUACAAAAUAAAAUUCAAUUUGCCACGUGGCACAUAGUCCUUGGCCGGUGUAAAAAGAGUAUAGCCGCCCGGCUAUACCGGAUUCUUUUUUGAAUUUUCUUCUAGAAAUAGUAUAGCCGCACGGCUAUACUUAUUUUCCCCUGUUUUUUUUAAUUAGGCUGUGACACGCGGCACCUAUGCGCUGGGGCAUCCUUUUUUUUAAUACAUAAAUAGUAUAGCCGCGCGGCUGUACUUUUAAAAAAGAAAAUUUAAUCCCAUUUACAAAAAAUUUAGUUUCUUUACUUUUCUUUUUUGACCUACUUCUUUUAUUUAAUAUAUGUAAUUGAGCAAUAUCUUUGCUUUUUUGAAUUACUUUAAUCACUACUUGUAUUUUAAUAUAUAUAUAUAUAUAUAUAUAUAUAACAAAUUCAAGUAAAAGUCCCCAAAAUAAUUCAUUUAUAUUUAUUAAGUCUUUUGAGAACUCGUUUGGGUGUCUUAAUUAAAUUUCUCCAUAGCCCAAGAGCCCUAUCUCUUAUUAUUAGGCCAUUGCUCGGGUAUCUAGUGUCCCUUUUUGAUUUUUGUUCUUUUCCAAAGCUAUUACCCGCAUAAAUAUUUUUGCACUUUCACGUUUAAUAAUGUUUUAUACACGUAUUUCUCAUGUUUAGUGCACUUAAUUUUAACAAAAAUUUCAGUAAUACGCAAAAUUCACGUAUUAUACACAUAAUUCUAACAUAUUAUUGAAUAAAAAUAAUAUAUAUGUAAAAAAAAUCUCAGUUUUUCCAUAAUUGUUUAUUAAAAAUAGUAUAGCCGCGCGGCUAUACUCUUUUUCAAAAAUUUUAAUUAAAAAUAGUACAGCCGCCGUGCUGUAACCGUUUGCCACGUGGCGCAUAGGCCUUGGCCGGUGUAAAAAGAGUAUAGCCGACCGGCGACACUGGAUUCUUUUUGAAUUUUGUUCUAGAAAUAGUAUAGCCGCACGGCUAUACUUAUUUUCCCCAAAUUUUUUUAAGUAGGCUGUGACACGCGGCACCUAUGCGCUGGGGCAGCCCUUUUUUUAAUAUAUAAAUAGUACAGCCGGUCGGCUGUACUUUUACAAAAUAAAAUUCAAUUUGCCACGUGGCACAUAGUCCUUGGCCGGUGUAAAAAGAGUAUAGCCGCCCGGCUAUACCGGAUUGUUUUUUGAAUUUUCUUCUAGAAAUAGUAUAGCCGCACGGCUAUACUUAUUUUCCCCUGUUUUUUUUAACUAGGCUGUGACACGCGGCACCUAUGCGCUUGGGCAUCCUUUUUUUUUUAAUACAUAAAUCGUAUAGCCGUGCGGCUGUACUUUAAAAAAAGAAAAUUUAAUCCCAUUUACAAAAAAUUUAGUUUCUUUACUUUUCUUUUUUGACCUACUUUUUUUAUUUAAUAUAUGUAAUUGAGCAAUAUCUUAGCUUUUUGGAAUUACUUUAAUCAGUACUUGUAUUUUAAUAUAUAUAUAUAACAAUUUCAAGUAAAAGUCCCCAAAAUAAUUCAUUUAUAUUUAUUAAGUCUUUUGAGAACUCGUUUGGGUGUCUUAAUUAAAUUUCUCCGUAGCCCAAGAGCCCUAUCUCUUAUUAUUAGGCCAUUGCUCGGGUAUCUAGUGUCCCUUUUUGAUUUUUUUUCUUUUCCAAAGCUAUUACCCGCAUAAAUAUUUUUGCACUUUCACGUUUAAUAAUGUUUUGUACACGUAUUUCUCAUGUUUAGUGCACUUAAUUUUAACAAAAAUUUCAGUAAUACGCAAAAUUCACGUAUUAUACACAUAAUUCUAACAUAUUAUUGAAUAAAAAUAAUAUAUAUGUAAAAAAAAUCUCAGUUUUUCCAUAAUUGUUUAUUAAAAAUAGUAUAGCCGGGCGGCUAUACUCUUUUUCAAAAAAUUUAAUUAAAAAUAGUACAGCCGCCCUGCUGUAACCGUUUGCCACGUGGCGCAUAGGCCUUGGCCGGUGUAAAAAGAGUAUAGCCGACCGGCUACACUGGAUUCUUUUUGAAUUUUGUUCUAGAAAUAGUAUAGCCGCACGGCUAUACUUAUUUUCCCCAAAUUUUUUUUAAGUAGGCUGUGACACGCGGCACCUAUGCGCUGGGGCAUCCCUUUUUUUAAUAUAUAAAUAGUACAGCCGUUCGGCUGUACUGUUACAAAAUAAAAUUCAAUUUGCCACGUGGCACAUAGUCCUUGGCCGGUGUAAAAAGAGUAUAGCCGCCCGGCUAUACCGGAUUCUUUUUUGAAUUUUCUUCUAGAAAUAGUAUAGCCGCACGGCUAUACUUAUUUUCCCCUAUUUUUUUUUAAUUAGGCUGUGACACGCGGCACCUAUGCGCUGGGGCAUCCUUUUUUUUUAAUACAUAAAUAGUAUAGCCGUGCGGCUGUACGUUUAAAAAAGAAAAUUUAAUCCCAUUUAGAAAAAAUUUAGUUUCUUUACUUUUCUUUUUUGACCUACUUCUUUUAUUUAAUAUAUGUAAUUGAGCAAUAUCUUAGCUUUUUUGAAUUACUUUAAUCACUACUUGUAUUUUAGUAUAUAUAUAUAUAUAUAUAUAUAUAUAUAUAACAAAUUCAAGUAAAAGUCCCCAAAAUAAUUCAUUUAUAUUUAUUAAGUCUUUUGAGAACUCGUUUGGGUGUCUUAAUUAAAUUUCUCCAUAGCCCAAGAGCCUUAUCUCUUAUUAUUAGGCCAUUGCUCGGGUAUCUAGUGUCCCUUUUUGAUUUUUUUCUUUUCCAAAGCUAUUACCCGCAUAAAUAUUUUUGCACUUUCACGUUUAAUAAUGUUUUAUACACGUAUUUCUCAUGUUUAGUGCACUUAAUUUUAACAAAAAUUUCAGUAAUACGCAAAAUUCACGUAUUAUACACAUAAUUCUGACAUAUUAUUGAAUAAAAAUAAUAUAUAUUUAAAAAAAAUCUCAGUUUUUCCAUAAUUGUUUAUUAAAAAUAGUAUAGCCGCGCGGCUGUCCUAUUUUUACUUUUUUUUUUGGGAUAAGAAAACCCCUUGUCGUUUACCGCCACGUGUCAGAAAAAAAUCAGGUAUAGCCGCGCGGCUAUACUAUUCACACCGCCGCAAAAAAAGAAAAAAAAAAUGAGGAGAUGCUGCGCAGAGCCCAGGCACCCACGUGUAAAAUUGUAUAGCCGUGCGGCUGUACUGUUUUACAAAUGAAUUCAAAAACCUGAGUAUAGCCGUCCGGCUAUACUGUUUUUAAUAUAAAAAAGGAGGACCCCAGACGCCACGUGUCAGAAAAAUCCAUUUGAAAAAAACACGGAGUAAAGCCGUGCGGCCGUACUAUUUUUCAUUUUUUAUUUAUUUAUAAAGUCGACCCUUUAUCGUUUACCGCCACGUGUCGAAAAAUAGUAUAGCCGCCGGGCUAUACUAUUUUUUAUAUGAAAAAAUCGUAUUAUAGCCGCCCGGCUAUACUAUUUAAAUACAUUGCAUUUAAAAAUUAUGGCCGCACAGCUACACUAUUUAAUAAAAAUAUGAAAAAUAAAAUAGGACUCUCCUAGUUGCUUUAGUUUGUACCAUAUAAAUAUUAAUUUGCUAGGUUCAACAUAUCCAAAGUAGAUAUUAAUCUUCCACUAUAUAAUAUUUUAAUAUAAUUUUACUAACAUAUGUUAUUCUUAUUCAAUAAUAUGUGAGAAUUAUUUGUAUCAUACGUGAAUUUUGUAAAAAGUACAUGUAUAGAACACAAAUGUGUUGUUGAAAAUUACGUAUGUACAUAUAUAUAGUUUUCUGGCUAUACUAUUUUUUAAUUAAUUAAACCACAGAGCCCAAGAGCCACAGAGCCCAAGGCCCAUCUUUGGUUUUUAAAUAUAUUAAUUAACCAUUGACCCAAGUAAUUAGACAUUUAACCGAAUGCCAUAUCCACAAGCCACUCAAUUGGGCCACUUGCAUAGUUAAUAUAACCUAUUCUAUUUCCAAGAAUAAGUCUUAUAAAGACCUCUAAGGAACUCUAGUGUUCCAAUGUGGGAGCUCAAACAUGUUUGCCAUACCUUAGAAAACCAACAAAACUAAAUUAUAUUAUUACACACAUUAUUUGUCGUAGAGAAUUGCAUGCUAAGUUGGAGUGUUCUUGGUAAUUGCUUCACUUUUCAAACAACACUUUACGUGAAGAAUACUACGACCUCUCUUACUACUAUGCCCAUAAAUAUUUAUUUGAAAUUGUUGUUCUUGUUGCCAAAGAAAUUGCAAAAUUACCAUCCUGCAUUUUUGUUAGAACAAGUAAAAACUAAUCUUUGCCUCUCAUAUUGUUUCAUAGUUAGUAAAAUACGGAUCGGAAAGAAUACGAAAACACUCCAUAAUUAAUAGCAAGUCUUAAGAGUUUCCAAAAAAUUGAUGAGUAUUCUUUGGGAACCUGUCGCAGAGCUGCAAAAAAUUGUCCAGCUUUCACUUAGAACCCUCUAUUGACCUCACAAAAUUUCCGAAUUAUCGAGGCGGACCUUAUAUGAACCACUGACGCUAUUUCAUAAUGGUUCUCGGACUGGAAGCAAACAAUUACAAAAUCUAUCUAAUUUCUUAUGAAAGAAACUUACUUUCGUGAGGAAAUUCAAAGAGUCAUACUUCAUAGUAAGAAAGAAAAGAAAAGCAAGCAAGCAACCAACCUCAGAUAGCUUCUGACGAUACUCAUCAGAGUCAACCGAGAGUCCAUGGAAAGGGAACUUGUAGUCAACAGCAGUGAAAGCAAUCUGCAACUUUCAGGAACAUAUUAUUAACAGUGAAAGAGAUAGAUGGAAAGGGAAGAAUUUAAAAAAAAAAAAUUAAAUAACAAAAAUGGAUAAUGAAAGGGGAGGAAACCGAAGGUGGAGAUUGCGCGAGAAGAUCGAAUGACGCCAUGGAUUGGUGCGCGUAAUUUGUCAGGAAAGUUGGGGAAGGAAUUGGCGGAAGAUGAGAGAAAAUUGGGGUUGAAGGCAUGAAAAGGUGAGGCCAGUGGCUGUGAUUAGGCAGAGUGCGGUUUUGGCCUUCCGCAUUGCCCGAGUCUAAUGUGUUUCUGUCUAGAACAUGAGAUAGCAAAAAGCUUGUUGACUUAGUUUAUGGUAGUUUCUUAAUGUUAGUGACCUCAGAGCAUUAGCUUUCAAAAAUUUAUGUCUGGAAUUAUGAACAUCAUGUCGAUUUCUUUUCUAAUAGCAACGCUAACGCAGGGAGAGGACAUUUUCGUGGCUUCUUUUCUCCCACUCAUUCCUCUCCAAUAUCAGAUGGUUUCUUUUCAUGGCUACGUCGAGAAGUUGAAGAGGAAAUGCGACUUAUUUAUUAUAGUUUUUAUUGUAUUAGUGUGUGCUAUGGAAAAUUCAAACUCUGCUCGAGCAGUACCAUUUCGUUGUAUUAUAUGUUGAUCUGUCAUUUUGUUUGGACUGGUCUAAUAUAGGUUCCUAUAACUUCCAUUUCCUAAAUAUCAACCUAUUAAUUUUGAAAUCUAUGUAUAAAACUCAAAUUCAAACUAAAAUUCCUCGAUAGAUACAAAAAGGUUAUAGUACUCCUACAUAUUUACAUUGUUUGCCACUAGACGUCAGAUAAGUCAACUUGACCGUUUUCAAGCAUGUCAUUAAGUCUCUCAUUUCUAAUUAAUAUUCCUCAUUUAAUGACUUUUUGUUUUGUUUUUUGGGCAUAUCAAUUACUCUUUUUUAUUUAUAUAUAUAUAUAUUUAAAACAAAAAACAAAGAAUGCUGAAACUUCUGAGUACUCCGAGAACAAACUUAAUAUGAAAAGCCAAUUAUUAAAAUAAAACAUGCUUUUGGAUGCCAAUUAUCAUUGAAAUCAUAACUUAGCCUGCAUGAAUAGUAUAGUCCCAUGUCGGCAGACGAUUUCAAGGCCAAAGUUGUCAAUUUAACAUCAAAACUUGCAUAUUCACAACAAUUAAUUUUCUGGAGAAGCUGUUCUUGAAGAGGACAUGUAAACCCGGACUUCAAAACCCCCCAAAAUUGGACCAAAUGCUCAAACAAUGGCCACCUAAUGCCAAUGCUGUCAUAUUCAGAAAAGAUGGUUUUGUUUGGGUUUGUUUAGGUUGCAGAAGGGAUUCGAAGAGAGACGAAGUUGGGGUUUGGAUUUGGGUAGAGAAGAAAACAGAGAGGAAGAGGAAGAACUGGGUUUUGAAGGCAAAGCUGUGGGUUUUGUUGGUUGUUCUUGAUCUUCUUCUUCAUGAGAAGAAGCGUAGUUAAAGAGAGAGAGAGAGAGAGAGAGAGAAGCCAAAAACUGACUAAAAGUGUUAUCUAGCCAAUAAUUGGGCAAUAAGUAUGUAUUUAUAGGUGAUAUUUGCAAAAUUUGUGGGAAGAGGUGGUAUUUCUAGUUAAAAUUAACAAAAUGGUGGCAUUUAGAGCUAUUUCCCUUCUCUUUUUUUCUCUUUUUUUUUCCCAACUUGAUAACUCAGUUUUUGGUAAAUUUAAAAGUAUCAGUUUAUCUUCUUAAGGGUACACUUAAUGCAACCCCUCCUACUCCUUCUCCCGCUCCAUCUCCAGAGCCAACAAUAAUUUCUCCAUAUCCUGCUUCUCCAGUUCACUCUCCAGCACCCUCACCUAACACAGUAAUCAUCUCCCACCAGCACUAUCCAAGGUACCUCCACAUCCUCGUCCAUGUCCAUACCGCGGUUCUGGAAUUCCUUCAAGCUCCUCACCAACUUCUCAUCCUAACCCUACUGUUCCUCCUACUUAUGCACCUAAUGGUUCCCCUUACUCGCCUUCUACGAGUCCCUCAUCUCAAUUGUCCCCCCAUGUGUUACCUGCACCUGUAGUGUCCAAGGCUCCCAGUCCAGGAAACAAGGGAAGUGCACAAGACUUGAUUUGUCCAUCACCUUCCCCAUCCUUGUCAUGUAAGUUACAAGCAGUAAGAUUUACCCUUUUUUUCUCCUGUUUUUUAGUUGGCAUGUAUGUUUGGUGACUUAAUGCAUUAUGUUGUUUGUUUUUUGGCUUUUUAUCAUAAAACGUCCCUGAGAUUUGCGAAACUAUCAGAUUGCAUCCUUAAAGUUUUUUUGUAUCAGUCAUGGUCCCUAACGUUAAUAUAGGUGCUCUUAAAUAAUCCUUUUGUCAAAAAAACUGUUAAAUAUAAAGAUAUAAUCGUCAAAUCAAUCUAAAUUUAUAUAAUAUAUAUAUUUUUUUUUUAAAUUUCCUUCCCCUCUCUCAUUCUUUCUUCUCCUUUUUUUCUUGUCUUCUUCUUCUUUCUCUUCGCCACAUUCCUUGAGGAUGGUUAUGAGACUCUCUCAAGUUUGCAGACACAAAGUUGUGGUGUCUGUUCACUUCAAUUCAACCCACCCUCAAGUCAAUCUCUCUAUCUCUCCCUCGCUCUGAAGUUCGACCCCCAAACCCAUCCGUCUCAUCCAAUCCUCAUACCUCCUCGCAAAACCCAACCCAACUAUCUUCUUCCCACCUUCGAAUCUUCGCCACCAAAAAUCAGCAAUUCAUUAUAGGGCUCGAAGGAAGCUCUGUUUCACUAUGUCGUCAUGGAGGACCAAAAGCAGAGUACCCAUCUUGAGAAUUGCACAGAAAGAGCCCAAGAGGCUGCUGAUUCUCAGAACCCAAUUGUAAUUCCGUCCGUACGUGUGGCUGAGAAGUUGUCCAGGAAGAAAUCGGAGAGGUUCACUUAUCUUGUUGCUGCGGUGAUGUCCAGCUUUGGUAUUACUUCCAUGGCUGUCAUGGCUGUUUAUUACAGAUUUUACUGGCAAAUGGAGGUAACCAAUUUCUCUCUGCUCCCUAAACCACAAAAGUUACGAACUUUAUCUUCUCUGAUUGAGUUUUUGAAUUGGGUGAUUUUGUUUUCUGUGUAGGGUGGGAAUGUGCCUUUGUCUGAAAUGUUGGGUACAUUUGCUCUAUCUGUUGGUGCUGCUGUAAGUUCACUGACAACAUCCCAAUUGGAGAAACUUAAUUAAAUUAAAUUGAUUUUGAAGUUUUUUUCUUUACACUGAAAACUACUAAAUCGAUUUGGAUUUUAUAUAUGUAUAUUUUAGGUGGGAAUGGAGUUUUGGGCAAGAUGGGCUCAUAAAGCUCUCUGGCACGCUUAUGGCAUAUGCACGAGGUUUGCUUCGAAUUUUGCUACUUUUUAUUAUCUCUUUGAUGCCAACUCCUCAAAAUUUUGUUUCUUUUCAUUCACUGGGAAACCAGCAAUGAAAGAAACAUGACAAGCUUGAGUUUUUAUGUUGUUUUUCCAUUUAGUUUCUUAGCAACCAAUCAGUGUUUGAUAUUUGAUAUGAACUUUAAUUGCAGUCUCACCACACAGACCCAGAGAAGGUCCAUUCGAGCUUAACGAUGGACUGAAACAGAGAAAGAAGAGAUAAGGAAUCUGGUGGAGAGAAAGAAGAAGAAAGAAAGAAAGAAACAGAGAGGGAAAUGAAAUAAAUAAAUAAAUAAUAUUUUUUUAUAAUUUUGGAUUGAUUUGACGAUUAUAUCCCUAGGUUUAACAGAUUUUUUAACAGAGGGAUUAUUUAAGAGCACCUAUAUUAACGUUAGGGACCAUGCGUGAUACAAAAAAACUUUAAGGAUGCAAUCUGAUAGUUUCGCAAACGUCAGGGAUGUUUUGUGAUAAAAAGCCUUGUUUUUUUAUGGUUUUGGCAGUGUUAGUUAUUCAUAUAGAAUGCAGGCUCAGAGUUAGAGUUUAUAAGAAAUUAUGAUUCUUGGGUAAUGGCCUAAUAGUAAUGGAUAUUGCUCUAAAUUACUCUUAGGGAAAGAAAAAAAAAAAAAAGUAUGGCCGCGCGGCUCUACUCUGUAAAUAUAUUAUUUUAAAGAAGUACAGCCGCGCGGCUAUACUAUUUAUUAUUAUUAUUAUUUUUUAAAAAGGAGCCGCCUAGACCGCCUAGCCCGCCUAGCCGGCCGAUUUUCUGUUCAAGUCUGGAUAUUUGGAUAUGGUUGUGCAGGCUAAAAUUAGAGGGUAUGGCUCCAAUUCUAAGAUGAUUACGUUAACUGGGUCUCUUUUCUUUGACUGAAUUCUUAAUUAUUUAUGAGUUUUCUGUCAAAUGUUUUUUGUGUUUAGAACUGUAAGUUUUGAUACGGAAAUGGGUUUUCUGCGCAAGCUUGAAUUUGUAGAUUUGGUUGUGUUGCCCCCUGUAAAUUUGGUUGAGUUGGUUGUGUUGGUUUAAAUUAGAGAGAACUCGUUAUAAAAAUCGCGAGACUCUCAAUUUUUGAGGGAGCGUCUCUUGUGAUGAUGAUGAUGAUAAAGGUUAUAUUGUAUGAGGGAUGUGGUUUAGUCUCAUAAAUCAUAAAGGGGAAUAUUCCUUUUGCUGCUCUUUUCUGCACUAAUACUUGUACCUGCAGGUUAGGCUUGAACUGAUGGGAAAGAAGGCAAAGAAUGCAACCAAUAUUUCUGGAAAUGAGGCUGGGAAAAUUUCCAAAGAGAUUUAGAAAGUGGAGAAGAGAAGGAUUGUUAAGAGUACUCUUUGCAAUGAAAGAAGUUCUCGGAGCUAUUGCAUGGUAGGAUUCCCUUGGACUUUCAAAUAUAUGAUAAUUCUUCCCCAGGUCUUGUCACUAGUUGGAUAUAACUUGCUUUCUAUUUCUGCACAGAUAAUCCUUGAUGUCCCAACAGUAGGAGGACGCUUGAUGCUUGUGGACAUGGCUGGCUCUGAAAAUAUUGAGCAAGCUGGCCAAAUUGUAUUUGAGGCAAAAAUGCAGGUAAUGUCUUGGUGGUGCUUAAUUUAUGCUGAUACUGCAUGCAGCACUUCCAUUGUCAUUGUAACAAAUGUUAAAUUAUGGUUAUAUUGAAUUCACAGACUGCAAAGAUCAACCAAGGAAACAUAGCUCUCAAAAGAGUGGUUGAAUCCAUAUUGCCAAUGGUGAUUCUCAUGUGCCUUUCAGAGACAGCAAACUGACCGUGCUUCUACAGGUAACUUUUAUUCACACUAAUGUCAGUUACUAGGGAUUAUAUUGUGCCCUGCCUUCUAACCUUGUAUGUGAAUGACAGUUCUCAUGUUCUUUUUGUGCAGGAUUCUUUCGAAGAUGAUAAAACAAAAAUUUUAAUGGUACUGUGUGCAAGCCCAGACCCAGAGGAAAUACACAAGACAAUCUCCACCCUUGAAUAUGGUGCGAAAGCAAAAUGUAUUGUCCGUGGUCCUCAUACGCUAAUCAAGGAUAAAAUUGGUACUGAAGAUUCAUAUGCUGUUAUUUUAGGAUCAAGGAUUGCUGCCAUGGAUAAAUUCAUCCCUAAACUGCAAAGGGAAAAUAAGCUCAAAGAGAAAGAGCGAAAUGAAGCACACAGAGAGUUACAGAAGAAAGAAGAGGCUGCUUCACUGAGAGCUAAACUUGAGCUUAUGGAAGGGAAAAUAUGCUGAUAGGGUAUGCCUAAGCACUGUUUUUGAGGAAGAAGAAAUGGAAGAAGAGGAAGGACUUAAGGAAAAUGUGGAAGCUGAAGAAGUGGAGAAAGAAGUUAUAGAGGAAAAGAGAGUGUGCAUGGUUGAUGGGUCUAGCCUCCAGAGUAAUUAUAAUAUGGGAUCCCUGACAUCUUUACCUAAGGAUUAUCAACAUACACCAACUGUGAAUCGGCCAAGCAGAAAUCCAGGGGAAGGAGAUGGCAAGGGGGGACCAAAUGAUAGGCUUGUCAGGAUCCGCAACAUAUUUACACUCUGUGGAAACUACAGAGAGCUCUCUCAACAUGUGACAACUCCAGCACCUACUGUUGCAUCAGUUAAAUCAGAAAAUGAGCAGAAACUGACAGAAGAGAUAAACAAAAGUCGAGUAUGUGAUGAGAUGGCAUUGGCUUCCAAGGAGAACUACAACCCUUCACUGAUGCGGAUACUGAAGUGUAUGUGAAAUGGGAGGCUUCAAAAGAGAAUCCAGGGAAGUUCAUUACAACACUUAAGGUUGUAAAAGAUGCAAGCCUUGCUGACCUGCGAAAGUUGAUUGCAAUUUAUCUUGGUGCAGACAAUCAAGCAUUCACUUUUCUCAUGCUUGGGGUAUAUCAUUUCUAAAUUCUCUAGCUUGUUGAUCUCUUCUUAAAAAAUGGAAAACUUUAUUAAGACAAUCAUGCUAACAUGGUUGUUUUUACUGACAAAAAAGUUGUUAUAAAUCAAGAAAUAUAGUGCAUCUCUGUGAUUAAGAAACCUUGAUUCAAACUUCUAUUCUGUAUAUAUGCAGGACCCCACUGGAGCUUCAAUAAAUCAAAUGGCCACCUUGCUAGCUUGAGACCACUGAAGGGAAUGCAAAGCCCAAGUCAGCUCCCCUUAAUUCCUCUCCCAUUGAAAUCACUGGAAAAUAGACUACCACUAAUUAAAAUAAUUUAAAAAGACUAAGAUUUUACUAAAUAACAUAAAUUAAAUUAAAGAAGGUCGCCAAAAAACAAAAGUAAAGAAACUAAUUUUAUACUUUUAAAUAAUUAAUUACUAUUUAUUAAAUCAGUAAAAUAUUUAAAUAUUCACUAAAGAAACAAUAAUUAAAAUGUAAUAACUAAUUAAAGUAAUUAAAAAAGAUUAACAUUUUAUUUAAUUACAUAAAUUAAAUUAAAGAAGGUUGCCAUAAAACAAAAGUAAAGAAACUAAUUUUAUACUUUUGAAGCGUAUAGCCGCUCGGCUAUAAGUUUAGAAUAUUCUUUUUAAAUAGUAUAGCCACGCGGCUAGACCUUUAAAAUAGAAUAUUUAUAGUGUAUAGCCGUGCGGCUAUACUCUUUUAAUAUAUCACCAACAAUAAAAAUAUGGAUUUAUGUGUAGCAAAAAUAUGGAUUUAUAGUGUCAUAUUUCCUUAAAUAUAUUCGAAUAUUUGAGUAAUUUAUGAAAUCAUUAAAAUAUUUAAACAUUAAAUAAAUAAUAAUAAUUAAAAUAUAAUUAUUAAUUAAAGUAAUUAAAAAAGGCUAAGAUCUUACUUAAUUACAUAUAUUAAACAAAAAUAGUUGGCAAAACACAAAAGUAAAGAAACUAAUUUCAAAUAAAAUAAAAAAACCUCUCCCGACGAAUGAUUUUGUCAGCAGAGACCUAAGCUACCAAACAUUUGUCGGAUGAGACUUCUCCUGAUGAAUGUUGGCCGGCAUAGGUCUAUGAUAUUACUAAUCAAAGUAAUUAAAAAAAACUAAGAUAUUACUUAAUAACAUAUUAUUAAACUAAAGAAGUUGGCAACCAAAAAAAAAAGUGAAAAAACUAAUCCAGCAAUAUCAACUAAAGAAAGUAAUGCCAUAUAUAAAUUUUGAUACAAUCACAAAACUAACCAGGCUUUGAAUCAAAUGUCACGGGGAUAUCAACUCAGGAAGUCCAAUUUGGGCUUGAAUUCCCAGGGAUAUAUAAUAGGAAUUCAUUAAAAGGAUUUCAUUAAUAAGAUUAAAAUGAAAUGUUUUCAAGUCACAAAUCAUUCCCCAAAUUCAAAACGGCGUCGUUUUAUUUUGGUAUUAUCAGAAAGAAAACCAGGGCGCAGUGGUCAUCUUCUUCACAAGAACUGCGCCUCAGUUGCAACUGCAAGAGAUUUUCCGGCAAGGGGAGGUGCAGCUGCACCUCCUUGCGCCUUAAUAGGUCCGCCAGUAACAGCUUUGGUUUGCUGCAAUGGGAACCAAGGGCAGCUUGUGUUUUGCAAACAGCAUGGCGUCGCUGUAAAAUAGAGAAGCUUCAAAAGUCUCCCAGGUUGGCUAAAGAGGGUAGUCUUUCUGCCACCGAUCACCAUGCUGUCUCAAAAACACAGCAUAAGUAGGUAUGGCUAAUAAACUGUUAAAGCAUUGAUGUAAUUCAGGCAGUGUUCGAAAAAUCGGCCUUGGCGGAAGGACACUGUUGACCAAACAUGUUAAGCUACGGCUUCAACAUUGUUAUCAAGCCAUUUUGUUUCAGAGUGCCUGCUCAUUUAACCAGCCAGUGUUUGAAAAAUCGGCCUAGACGGCGCUUAAGAGCUAGGCGGCUGCCCGUAGGGUUUUUAUGGUGGCUCUUUUAUUUCUCCUGUUUUGAUGAUUUUAGAUUCACAUGUUAAGCUAUGGCUUCAACAUUGUUAUCAAGGCAUUUUGUUUCAGAGUGCCAACUCAUUUAACCAGCUAGUGUUUGAAAAAUUGGCCUAGGCGGCCGCCUAGAGGGUGUUCAUGGUGGCUCUUUUAUUUAUCCUGUUUUGAUGAUUUUAGAUUCACAUGAUAAGCUACGGUUUCAACAUUGUUAUCAAGGCAUUUUGUUUCAGACUGCCUGCUUAUUUAACCAGUCAGUGUUCCAAAAAUCGGCCUAGACGGCACCUAGGCGCUGGGCGCCCGCCUAGGCGGCCUGGGCGUGUCCUGGUGUGUCUGGGCGAGUCUGACUCAGAAAAAUGAGAUGAUGAUGAUGCUAUGUGUGAGAGAGAGAGAUGAGGAUUGAAGAAGAAGAUAGGUCGUGGGUUAUGUAUGAGCGAGAGAGAGGAGACAGCUCGGGUUAGACUUAGGGUUUGAUAUUUGCUGUGUGUGUGUGUGUGUGUGUGGUUUUUGUUGUUCUUAGGAUGAGCUUUUGUUAUAUAGUUGUUGUUUUGUCUAGUUUUUAAAGUAAUUAACAUGAGAUAUGCUGUACAGAAUGUUAGCUUAUGCUUACUGAAAGUGUAUACUGCCUAGCUUGUUGCAUGUUUGCAGCUGUUUUUAAGUUGAUCACCUUUCAGCUUUCCUGCUGAAGGCAAUUUAUGGGUCCUAUCAAUAAAGAAAGAAAGCUAGUCUCAUGCCAGGGAUAUGUUUCUAUUUCUAGACAUCCUAAGAAAUAUUAAAUAUAAUUGAAGCAAAUCAAGGAGCAUUUUUAGAAUGCUGACUUGUUGGAUUUUGCCAUUGUUUUUAGAAUGAAUGUUGCUCUGAAAGUGCUGUCAUGGGCAUUUAUCUAUAAUCAAUUGGGCGGAUGUUCGCUGUUGCAGUUUCUGAGACCCUCCGGAAAGUUUGUAUUCUCUAACUUCUGGGUUCCAGUUCGUAUUCUCUAACUUCUGGGUUCCGUUUUUACCUUUUCGCAGUUUAUCUUAUAGCUCAAUUUAAUCAAAGAUGUCUGCAUGCUAGAAACAUGAUAAUUGUAUGUAAUAUGCAUAGGUGAAUCUUGUGACCAGGCCUGGCAGAGAACUCCUAUUUACUGUUGUCUCACAGGACGAAAAAUACAAAGCCAAGUCACAAGCUUCCAAAUUCUUUUUUACAUAGAAAAUCAAAUGCAUUUGGUUUUUUUAUAAAAUAAGUUCAUCUACGAAACUGUGUCACUUGGUGCUUGCUGCUGUUGGUGUCUUAGUUUCCUCUAUACGAGAAAGUGCAUGUGUUCAACUUUAAGUUCCUCUAUACCCAACUAUUUGAAACGCUGUUUCACUAAUUACAUGAUACUGCAGGUUUGCAUUGAUGUAUUUGUUCAAAGACUUGGAGAUAUGCUUCAGCAGGAAUGUACAAGCUAGCUUUCAGCACUACUAGUACUGUUAAUGGGAGAGCGUCAAUUGUGUCUCACUACUACAAAAAAGCAAAAAGACGACGGUAAAUCACCGUCGUGUAUUUGGUUUUUCAAUGGUCGUGGAAUCCACCGUCAUCUUUUCCCUCAUAAACCACGACGCUAAAUAACCGUCGUUGUUAAACAAUACAACGUCAUCAAAAAAUACAAAACGACGUCUUUGUACUGCAAAAAGAUCUAAAAAAAGCAAUCGAGGAUGAUAAUAGACGACCAAUUCUCUAAAAACACCGUCGUUAAAAAGGGAAAAUAUGACACAUAUUAAGAGAACAAAGCCGCAAGAUAGACAUACAACGACGACAAUAAAAAUACGCCGACGUUAAAUAUAAUUUUCACGACAAUAAAAAAUAUGACGUCUUUAAAUACAUUAGAAGACGACGUUAUUGAUACCUACUACGUCGCACAUAUAAACACAACCGUCGUACAAUUAAUUUUCCACUUCGAUUUUUCGAUAAAAGAUGACGUGGAAAUAGUUGUCAGUGUCAUUAUUUACGACGUAUGUGUUUCUAUAGUAGACGUUGAAAAACUAAACAACGUCAGUUACAAAUAUAUGAGAGUCGUAUUAAAAAAUUUAUACGUCCUAUUUUCAGAAACAAACAACGACCAUAAAUAUUAGACGUUGUUAAAUACAACAACGUCGGAAAA
rnacentral:lncRNA from 1 species